rnacentral:lncRNA from 1 species
CCCUAAUAUUAGGUGCUGAGGUAUUUCCAAGUUAUGGAAGAGAUAGACGCAACGAAGUCCACGACAGAGGAGCUGGAGCAAGUGGCAUUGUUCGAAGAAUUCCUAGAAAGAAAAUUUCAUUUGGGGACAGAAUUGCACCCCGAGCUCAGGUAUGGUUCUAUUGAAUUCCUUAAAUAUAACACUGAUUGUUUUGCAUGGUCGCAUGAGGAUAUUACAGGUAUCCCGACGGAAAUAGCCGUGCAUAAACUGAGUUUGGAUCCUAACGUAUCACCGGUAUGACAGAAGAAACGCCUUAUUGCCGAGGCCAGGAAUAAAUUCGUUUAAGAAGAGGUAACCCGCUUGCUUAAAAUCGAUUCGGUCAGAGAGGUAAGAUAUCCAGACUGGCUAGCCAAUAUAGUAGUAGUUCCUAAGAAGAACAAUAAAUUUCGCAUGUGAGUAGACUAUAAAGACCUUAAUAAGGCGUGCCCGAAAGACUCAUUCCCACUACCAAAUAUCGAUCAAAUGAUUGAUUCCACGGCCGAGCACGAGCUAAUGAGUUUCCUUGAUGCUUAUUCUGGGUACAACCAAAUUAAGAUGGACCUGGAAGAUUAGGAAAAAACUUUAUUUAUAACGAAUUUCGGUACAUAUUGUUACAAUGUACUUUCGGGUUGAAAAACGUCGGCGCCACUUAUCAACGGCUCGUAAAUAAGAUGUUUGAAAAGAAAAUAGGAAAGAUCAUAGAAGUUUAUAUAGACGAUAUGCUAGUUAAGUCUUUGAAUGCAGGUGACCACCUUAAGCAUUUACAAGAAAUAUUCGACAUCCUAAGGAAGCAUAAUAUGAAACUUAACCCCGAGAAGUGCGCGUUCAGGGUCAGUUCUGGUAAGUUCCUAGGGUUUAUGUUCUCACAAAGGGUAAUUGAGUUGAACCCCAGCAACAUCAAGGCCAUAGACUAUAUCCUGGAUCAAUUGUCAAAUGUGAAGGAUUUCCCACUCGUCAGAAAAAUGUCAUUGCCUUUUCAAACCGAUGAAAAAGAAAAAUAAUUUCGAAUGGACAUUAGAGUGCCAACAGGCUUUGAGGGACCUGAAGAAGUACUUAUCAAGCCCUCCAUUGCUUUCAAACCAAAAGAAGGUGAAACACUGCUAGUCUGCCUCGCGAUUUCAAAAAUUGCGAUAAGUAUGUGUUUAGUCCGGGAGGAUAAAGGUACGCAAUUUCCUAUUUAUUACGUUAGCAAAAUUUUAACGGGAGCAAAAACUCGCUACGCACAUUUGGAAAAAGUAGCCUUAACUGUCGUAGUCGCCGCUCGGAAGCUGAGGCCUUAUUUCCAAUGUCACCUGAUAGUUGUGGUGACUACUUUCCCUUUGCGGAACAUUCCCCAUAAACCCGAGCUCUCGGGAAGAUUGGCCAAGUGGGCCGUCGAAAUGAGUGAAUUUGAUAUAGAAUAUAAACCAAGGAUUGGAAUUAAUUCACAAGUCUUGGCUGAUUUCGUGGCGACUUUAGUCCGUGACUACUACCUCUAGCAACCAAGGAGGCAGUAGUGGUGUCAGAAUAAACAUCGGGGGUUUGGACCUUAUUUAUGGAUGAUGCUUCCAACGUAAAAGGGUCCGAACUCGGAAUAGUUUUAAUCACGCCUUCGGGGGAAACCUUAAGGCAAGCCAUCAGAAUGAUCCCUUUAACUAACAAAGAAGUAGAGUAUUAAGCUUUGAUUGCAGGGCUCGAAUUGGCCCGAGGACUCGAUUCCGAGGUUAUCGAAAUCUUUUCUCACAACUAACGGUAAAUCAGGUCUAUAGGAUCUUUGAUAUGAAAGAAGAAUGUAUGCAACAAUAUGUGGUAAAGGUACAGGCUCUUUUGACACGAUUUUGUGAGUGGUCAAUUACUCAUAUCCCGAGGGAGGGUAUUGCAGAAGCAGAUGCAUUAGCAAACUUAGGAUCACCGAUAGAAAUCAAGGGAUCAAAGUCUGGAACAGUGGUAUAACUGAUGAGCUCGGUCCUGGAUACAAAUGGUUACUAUGAGGUAAAAUCGGCCAGUCUGGUCAGGGACUAGAGAAAUGAAAUAAUCAAUUACCUCGAGCACGGAAAGUUGCCCAAAGACUCCGAUGCAUCACGGGCGUUACGCAUCAAAGCUGCACGUUAUAGCUUCAAGAAAGGCCAACUGUAUAGAAAAUCUUUCCAAGGUCCGCUGGACAGGUGCUUAGGAACGUCAGAAGCUAAUUAUGUCAUGAGAGAAAUCUACAAAGGGAUAUGCGACAAUCACUCAGGCACAGAUUCUUUGGUGCUGAAGUUGGUACGGGCAGGAUAUUAAUGGCUUGCAUGGAACAAGACGCCAAAGAUUUCAUACGAAAAUGUGAUAAGUGAAACGCUACACACCACUAGUACACCAAUCGGCAGAACCCUUACAUUCGGUUUUGUCCCAAUGGCCAUUCAUGAAAUAAGGGAUGGACAUCGUCGGACUGCUGCCACUAGCUCCCGAAAAGGUACGACUUCUUUUAAUUCUGACUGAUUAUUUUUCUAAAUGGGUGGAAACAGGUUAUAGAAUAUCGGAGAACGCGAAGUGGUCGGUUUCCUGUAGGAAAAUGUAAUUUGCAAGUUCGAAAUAAUGGGCCACAGUUUAUCGGUGCAAAAGUUACAAAGUUCCUCGAAGACUUGAAAAUAAAGAUGAUCACAUCUUCUCCUUAUCAUCCGAGUGCAAACAAUCAAGCAGAGUCAACAAACAAAGUGAUUAUUAAAAACCUCAAGAAAAGGUUGCAUGGAGCAAAAGGCAAAUGGCCCGAAAAAUUGCCCGGAGUUCUAUGGGCCUACCGAACAAUAGCCAAAUUGCUUACAUGAGAAACUCCUUUUUCCCUCGUGUAGGGUGCUGAAGACCUAAUCCUAGUAGAAGUGGGUGAACCCACUUUGAGAUAUUCCCAGAAAAAUGAAGAAUAGAACAACGAAGCAAUGAUUGGAACUGCUCGAGGAACGAAGGGCCUUGGCGCAUGUAAGAAUGGCAGCUCAAUAGCAUAGAAUGGAGCGAUAUUACAAUCGAAGAGCUAACUUCCGUUAUUUCAAAGUAGGAGACUUGGUUCUUAGGAAAGUAACCCAAAAUACUCGGGAGCUCAACGCGGGAAAGCUAGGUCCAACAUGGGAAGGUCCCUACCGGAUUUCAGAUGUCACUGGGAAAGGUUCAUACGAGUUGGUGAACCAGAAUGGAGACAAGUUGCCUAGCAACUAGAACGUGUCACACCUCAAAAGGUAUUAUUGCUGACGAACACUAUUCAAACGGAAAGUAUGUGUUGCACCCUUUUUCCCUUCGUUCAGUUUUUAUCCCAAUUGGGUUUUUCUGGCAAGGUUUUUAGCGAGGCAGUAACAUAAGCAUACUACAAAGAUAGCAACAAUAAGACCUUUGAUAGUAAGGCAAACAAACAAGCUUCCACUCAGGGACGGUUAGAUUAUCUUUGGUUCAAUGGCAAAUUCCUACUAAGAAGCAAAGUUUGCUACUGGACAGAGGUUACCCGACCAUUCACAAGCACAAACCACUAGAGGACUGUAAGGUAUUAUUUCGCUCGAUAGCAUGGAUUCCUAAGUGGAAGUAAGGUAUGUUGUCGAGUGAAGGAUUACCUAGCAAUUCAUUGGUGGAACCUUCAAGUGUACAAGAAUUCCAGUGUUCAAAUUCGCACUCUUCGCAUUCAAACACUGGGGGAGGGGGAAUGAUAUGAGGAUAUGGCAACAAUGACUGUCAUAUCAACCGGGGAACGAAAAUUCGGAAACAAAAUGCAUCAUCAGGACCAGGGAGUGCACAUCCAGCCCCGUAGAAACAAGUUGUACAAGAUAGCCACCAGUAAUGGCAAUUUCUUUUCUGCAUAGCAAAAUGCUUAUGUAUUAUUUGAAAAUAAAAGGAAUAAAAUAAAAUCAUUUUGCUUUUAUCUUGUUUCUUGUCUGAACGAUGAGCUAACUUUGUCAUUUGAAAGUUAAACAAGUACUUCAAAUAUUAGUGCUGUAAUAAUGAACAGGAGACAUCCUUUUCUAGAGCACUGUAGACAUAAAAGGUCCCUCUCUUAUAAAAACCCUCACGCUAAAGGGUUUAUUACAGAAGAAUCUAUGCCCGGAAUCUAAAAUGCUGUCGGGGAAAAGUACACCCGAAGCCGCAUAUGAAAAGGACACAAAAAGUAAACCCUCAGAACCAAAAUGCUUGGAGGAAAAGGCAUCCGAGACUACACAUAGUAAAGCGCGAAUAGAAAAGCGUGCACAGAAGCUUGAGCAAGUACGAAAGUUAAAGACUUGCAUGGAUAUUCAAACAAAAGUAAGAAUCAAAUGAUACUUGAGCAAAAAAAAAUGUCUUUAUUUACAAGAACGUGCCAAAACGAUAAAAGUAGAAAAUGGGAAAAGGAAAAGAAAAGCUAAACUGCAGCGCCUCCGGAACUAGGAGGAAGAGAAGUAUUCGUAUUCCCGAGAGAAGUAGGUGGUUCCACCGAUGGCUCGAUGUUUUCCCCAGUUUAGUCUUCAGCAUCAUCACCUUUUGAUCCCUCUUUAGUUUUCGAAAACUCAAAACUGGAACCAGAAGAACCAGGAGCAUCAGACUGCGCCAGGAGUCCAUUUUUUGCAGCCAACUCAAGCUCUCCGGACUUAGAAAUUUUGGCAUCAACGUCAAUGAUACCAUUUUUGGCCUCUUCUAAGGUUUUUCUCCUCAUGCUCAACAUGGCAUAAGUUUUUUCAACAAUGAGGGAAGCCGCUCGGUGCUUAAGUUCUUCUUUGAGCUGGGUAACCUCGGCACAAAUGUUUUCCCGGGCGGACCUAGCAGAUUUGAGGCUGACGUCGAACUCGCGAACCCUGGGGCGAGGCGUACCAAACAAGCCCCGAGGCGAUGGGGUGCGGCGAAAUUCUCAAGAGGUGUACGCCCAGCAAUUCGGUGCAUAUGCCCGGGCAUUUGAGGCGCGUUUUUAUAGUGAGGCAUAAGCCAUAAAGACUUUUCAAAUUAAAAUAAACUUUUUUGAAUAAGUCCAUCAUACAAUACUCAAAUUUUCAAAAGUCGGCUUGUAAUUACUCAAAAAUUUUAAAAAGGAAAUGAAAUGUAUUAAAUUUAAAAGUCAAGACAUUUUUUAUUGAUUGAAGCCCUAAUUCAUGGUCUUUCCCAAUUAUUUCUCUUGUCUGCUAGUCUGCUAAUAUCUCCGAAAAGCAACGAAUAUUCAAUUUUGUUUUACAAAUAUAAAGAGAACUUCAUUCUCCUUCAUAGCAGCAAGUUCAAAGUUCAAAUUGCAGGUUAGUCAUCCUUUUUGUUCCUCCAUAUAUAAAACUUUAUUCUUUCCGAAUCAAGUUACUUGUACUUGUAAAUAACGUAUAAUAGAUUGGUUUGACUAGUUUUUCGUGGUAAUUGAGCAUACAAAGGGCCUAAGCCCCAUAUAUUUACAUGUUUUUAAAUAUUUACUGUAAUUAUAUUAUUAUAUAAAAUAUUAAAAUUUAAAUACCUAUGGGGCCUACGUCCCAUGCCUCGGGGCUUACGCCUCGCUGAGGUAUAUGUAAAAUGUCUCGCCUUACGCCUACACCUUUUAAAAGACUGGCAGAUAGUUAAACUAAAGUGCCUAUUAUGCUCGAUAGUUUUCGUGUACUUCUCUUCUAGCUGGGCGUGUCUCGCCCCCACAGCAGCAAGCUCUUCAAUUUUGGAGUUCAAGUCCGCCUCUGAUUUAAUCUCUCUUUCAGCAAGGCAGCCUCACGAUCGGUUGCAGCAAGAACGUCGUUCUGGACUUCAACCCAUUUGGUCCUGGAUUCAUCAAAUCUAACCCUCUGCGGCCCAAUUUCUUGGAUAAAGGUUACCACUUCUUGCUCGCUUUGUUGAAAAUGAGCCUCCAAAAGAACGGCCUCAGUAGCUUUGGUUUCCAGUUCUGAGAGGCGGAGAAUAGCUUUGUCCUAUUCUGCCAAAAGCUGAUUCUCAGAAGUAUGUUCUUCCUUCUCACGAAUCAACCUUUGAAGGCCCUCGGAAGCAAGAAAGUUGGCCUACAAAACAAGAAGAGGUAAAAUUUAGAAUACAUUCAUACAAAAAGUAGAAGAAAUGACAAAAUAAGAAAGGAACACACCUGUGUAGCGUUAUUACGUUGUUCAACAAGCACUCUCCGGAGAGUGCCUAAAUCUUUUCCGAGUCUUUUUCUGAAGCCAAAUGCUUCAUGUAAUUAGCAAGCUCCACCGGCCGUGAUAGCAGGUUGCACUCAGUAGAGAUCGAAAGAGUAAUGUUCCUCCUCCUUUGUGGAUCUUCAGAAGGGACAACAUUAUUUUGCCCCAAAUUCCCAUGAACUGGGGACUGUGGAAGACGAACACCUUCUUUUUGUGUUCAGGUACGGCCGAUGGAGAUGAUGUAGCAACUGCUGGUGGAAGAGUGGAUGAAGAUGGAAGUGAUAUAGUAGUUGUUGGUGUUGGUGAAGGUGAAGAUGAAGCAGAUGGAGUUGAAGAGUGAGAAGCAGCUGCAUACAAUGCAGUGCUAGCUAUUGGUGCUCGCCAACCAAAGAUGGAAAAGACCUGAUACUUAGCCCCACAACACCAGUUACAACAAUUAGGGCCCGAAAAUUGGAGUUGGCAUUUUCUACCAAGUCAGAUUCUCCCCAAAGUGCCGAGACAUCGUCUAGUUAGUGUAAUUAUCUCAACAGGUCGAGUAUCCUGUUGAGAUGAUGAGGAUCGUCGCCUUCUAUGUAGAGAAGCUCCCUCAUCACUAGCUCCUUCAUCAUGAUCAAUCAUCACAACGUCUCUGACCGGCUUGGAAGGAGGACCAGCCGUCAUCUCCACCGGAGAUGACUCGGAGGCAUCAAUCUUUGCCCUUUUAUUCUUUUCCCCAGUCGCGGAGGAACGUCUUCUCUUUGUUUGCUUAUCCUCUGGCCGGGGACUCCGUAAAGAAGUGUUUGCACCCAAAAUAGGCCCGGAUAUACCUAUUAGAGUAAGUGUUUCCCGAAGCAGCUUCGCUGCAUUAGCGGGAUCAACCAAAACGUCCUCCUUGGGCAAAGCAACAGAGCCCAUAGGUAGACCUAAUUCCGUGAACAAGUCAGAAGGGUUCAACAUCUUCUGAUGGACUUCCACCCGUAUUUAAGGUCAGUUCUUUAAACAAAUGAGUUUCGAGCAUCGUAACGUCCAACAUCUUCUGAACCUACUGGUCCAAACCUGCCACCACCUGUGGAAUCUAUCAAGUUGUGAAACAUGCGAAGGGUGAAGAGAUGCUACAGCUAUAAAAGAAUAUCUAGUAAAAAGGAAUACUAUACAAAGAACUCACGAGUGCGAUUCCAAGCAACCAGAAAGGAUGAAGUCAUUGUCGGAAUGAUGUCAUUGGUGGCAACUACAACGAACCGUUCUAUCCACCCAUAGUUGUUGUCAUCAUCCAUGCUAGACAGCGAAGCAUGGUGGCUACACAUGCAAAGGUUUGUUAUUCCCCCGCGAAAGUUUUUAGGAGAAUAGAGAUUCAUCAUAUGAGCUAAGGUUAGCUCCUCUCCAAUUUUUUGGCACAAACGUCGAAGGUAGGCGAUUGUCCUCCACACUAAAGGACUUUCCAGUGCCAAACACACCUGGUAACGAAGGCAAAACUCUGCAAUCACGGAAUCAAGCUCUCAGCUCAAUGAAAACACACUCAAAGUAAAUGGAUACGUGAAAAAGUAUGUAAAACCUUCCUUGAGAAGGGUCACUCGCUCUGAUAGAUCGAGAGCAAUAAUAUCCAACUCAGGGCAGCGGCAGUCCUCCUUCAUAGCAGAAAUACUAGAAGGACGAAUGGAAGAAGGGUACUUACUAAUAGCCUGUGUAUGAGAGUUAGCAGUUGGAAAUUUCUCUUCAAAAUCCUUUGAAGUACUAAGUCUUCUUGGGAUAAUGGAACCCAUUUUUGCAGGAACAGAGUCCUCGGUUUUGUUUUUGUUCUUUAUAGAACCAACACGCUUGGAGGAAGAAACCAUUGAAAAAGAAGAAGGAAAAGACUUUGUGUUUAAAUAAAAUUUGAAAAAGGAUGGAAAACAAAGAUGCAAAUCAGAAGCUCAAGCAAUUGUGAAACGCAAAGGAAAAGAAAGUUGUGUAUAAGUAAAAUUUUGGCGGCUAAAUUCAUGGCCAUGAUUACCUCAAUAAUCGACAAAAGUUGUGCUGAAUCAUGGGACGCGUGUUCGGGGUAUUAAAUGCGGAGAGACGUGCGUCUAAUCAACUGUCAGAAACCUUCAGAGGGAGUUAUAGUAAUUCCCGCCAAAAAGGUAUUUCUAACAAUUUCCCGGUAAUACAAAGUUAUGUCACUGGAAAGCUGGAAGACUAUCUGUAUAGGGAAAAAUAUGAUAUGACACGUGAUUUUCUAAAAGGAGGACACGUGGAACCCAAGAUAUGGAUGACCGAAGACCGAACGCAGCCACUCCGCUUGUCACAUGAAAGGAUAACGUUCAUAAAGGUUUAUUAAAUGCUCUGUGCUCGGUAGCAUUUACUAGGGAAUAUUCUGCAGCAUUAAGAGCGACGGUCCAUUACAGGGAAUUUGACAUUUAUGUUCACCGUUACAUCUUCAUCAAUGACCCUCAUAAUUGACAUGAAAGGAGGGCACAAUCCUAGGACCCCCUUCCCUAGAUAUAGCUAUAAAUAGUGAGCUCAGUUAUCAUUAUAAAGGACACGAAUUUUCUGGCAAAACUUACACGAUAUUCUAUACAAAGCUUAAUACAAUUUUGCUUUCUUGUUCUUCGAUUUUAUCAUUGAUGUGCCCGAAAACUGUGUCCACGGAAUUAUCAUCUCUGCGGUUUCAUCUACAUUCAAAGACUAAGUAUUGUGUAUUUCUUUAAUUAUUGUAUUAUUUCAGGAUCAAAUUAAUUCACUUGUCUAGAAACCACAUAUAAAUUCAACUAUACCGUUUUACGGGUAAAUACAUAUAGAAUUUCGAUUUUAUUAAACGUCUUUGAAAGGCCAACUCAACGUCUUAAACUAAAAUAAAACGAAACUAAUGUAUGAUUGUGUCAAUUCACUAAUAAAUACAACUUCACCUCGCCACCUCUCGUUUGCACGAGAGCCUAUAAUUUGGAAGUUUGUUAACUUCUUGGUUUCCAACUUCCAUGCGUAGAGCUGUGAAAAAUAACUCAUCUCCCUCAAUUUAUCUUCGUUGGUCUUUUGGUUAGACUUUUUUACUAUGGAAUUGCGAGUUUAUACACGAGUUUGAUAAAUAAUUAAUAUAAGGUGCAUCUCAAAGAAUAUAUAUAAUCACUAAAUGUCCAAAAUGAUAUGAUUUCAUGAAGUCAAGAAAAGUUUUUUAGCGAUGUUGGACUAAAGCGGCUCAAAUAUACUUUUGACAUGAUAUGAUGUUGUCCAUUUUGGAUCAAAUUCGCACACUUUUCCCCCAAAACGUCUUACACCAUUAAAAAUAUCCAACUCUUUAUAAGUAACUUAUUUUUCUUUUCUACUUUUUAUGUAGUACUUUAUUCCCACACACCCAACAACCAGCAUUAUGUAUUGAAUAAUAGGAGUGGGUUAAAUGAUGCAAUAUUUUCGGUUAUAAUAAAUCCUGAAAUGACAUUGCCAAAAUAAUUGUUUUGCCAAUAAUAAAUAUUACGCUAUAGAAUAAAUGGAGUAACUAAAACAUUUUCAAUAUCAACAACUACUUCGAAUUUGAAACAAUGAGCACGCCUACAGGUCAACUCUAUAUUGAGUCUACCUCUAAUAAUUUAAUCAAAUUUCUGAAAAAAUGAACUUAUUCUCUUCGAAUUCGGACUUUGGGGUGGGCUGAUGGAGUCAAACAUUUAUAGUGUUUAAAGCAUACAUCAAAUUUUAAGAUAGCAUCUUCUUCACGGCUAGUAAAUUUCCUAGCAUCUAAUCAGGCGUAAUCCCCACAUUUCAAGUGCGAAAAAUGCAUAAUUUUGACUUAGAAAUUUUUUUCUUACGUGCAAUAAAUAUUGUUAAUUUUCCAGGGUCCAAUAAUGUUAUUGGAGAGGUCACAAGCAAGAAUGAAUCUUUAUUAUCCACCUUUUGGAGAAGGAAAAAAAAAAGGAAUUUUAUAUAAAUAGCCAACCUGAUUUACUGUUACUAAAACAUAUAAAUUUUUGUAAUAAUAAUUUAGAUAUAAUUUUAGCCAAUUUACGGCCUCUUCAGUUCUAAAUUUCUUUUAAUUAGAAAUAGAGUCUGCUCAAUGGUGUAGAUGACCUAAAGCCAAGUCAUAAUAAGAGGCCUUAUUUAAUGAACUUUUUAGAUAAUUUUGUUUGAAGUAUAUUCUUUUCACUUUUUGAUGCAAUAAUUUAUAUUUUAUAGUUAAUUUCAUAUAAUAUUUAUUUGACAAUGUAAUUAUUCCAUUUAAUUUUUGUUGAAACAUUAUUGACCUUCGGUAAGAUUUAAUUUGGAAAAGCUUCCUUUACAUGACGUCAACAUACCUCACUAAUAUACUGUUGUCUUCCCAGUAACAGUUAUGUGGGAAUUUGUAUUUUACAAAGUCACUAAAUAAAUCAGCUAUAGCUUUUUACGAUCUAGUUAGUUUAAAGUGUGGCUACAUAGAUCUUGAAAGGAAAUAUCAUAUAAAAUUAGAGAGUAAAUAAAAUUUAUUCAAAUCGGAGUGAGAAGAAAUAGAAAGUAACGGCAUAUUUAAUUCCCUUUCACUUUUGUAAUUAUCUCAACCAACUCCAUAAAAAAAUAACAAUAAUUAUUAUUAUUUAAUAAUAAAUACAAUAAAUAUGUAAAAAUACAUAUGAGAAGAGUAUCUUUUGCGGCCUCUAUUUUAUGAGGCCUAAAUUUGUCGAUUUAUAGUCUGUUUGGCCAAGCUUCUCCAAUCCUAGAAGCACUUUUUUUUCUUCAAAAAAGUACUUUUUUCAAUGUUGAUGUGUUUGCCAAGCUUUUGGAAGAAAAAAGUGCUUUUGAGGAGAAUCAGAAGCAGUUUUGGACAAGCAUAAAAAAAUAACUUAUCUCCAAAAUCACUUUUUUGAAAAACACUUCUGAGAAAAAUACACUUAGAAGCAGGUUUUAAAAGCUUAGCCAAACACUAAUUGCUACUCAGAAGUAUUUUUUUAACUUAAUUAGUCAAAUACAAACUGCUUCUCACUAAAAGUAUUUCUGAAAAAAAUACAUCUUAAAAUAAGCUAAUUUUUGUAGCUUGACCAAAUAAGUUAUUAGUAGCUUGGUGGUACGAUUAAGCCGCCUUUGAUUAGAAAAAACAUGUAGUAUAAAUUUUUUUUUUAUUCAUUACAUAUUGCCUUCAGCCUAGCUAUAUGAUUAGUUUAACUUACAAUAAUUAAUUUUAUUUUUUUGAACUUGCAUAUUCAAAUCAAUAAACUAUAAUACUAAAAACUACUAGUAUAUAAAAUUUGAUUAAAUAAUACUUUUAUGAAUUCUCGUGCGAAGUGUUACGCAGUAAAAAGAAAAGAAAAGCACGAGUGACAAAAAUGUUGGCGAAAUUAUUCAUGCUACAUGUUUAUUAGUAAAUAAAUAAGAGGGUACUCAUAUUCAUCCAUACAGAAUAUUUCUUACAGUUUCAGUGAAGAAAAAUUAAAAAUAUUCUGCGAGCUCGAAAAAGAAAGAAGAAAAUAUUAGGAGAUUUUAUUUUUCUUAUUCCACUUAGAUGAACUAGACAUUUGUAGAUAUUAAGUGGCUAAAUAGAUGAUGUCAAGCUUGGGAAAUACAAGCUUAGAAAGCUUUACAGCUAUAAAAUGGAGGAAACAAUUAGAAGCUUCCAGAAUAUCGAUUGAAGAGAAGACAAACUGAGAUGGAGUCUCUAAUUGAGAAAAGUGAAACUCAAACUCAAUUAUGCUGCAGAGUAGUUCUUAUAUACAGUGAGCACUAAGCUAACUAACUAAUCCGGAAAUGACAACUAAGCAUUAACUAACAACUCCAACAACUAACUAACAGCUAACUGACUAAAGCAACAGUAAUAACUAACUACUGAAUAAAUACAAUUCUCUAAUUUUAAUACCCCCCUCAAGUUGGAGGUGAGGGAAGCACAACCAACUUGCCCCAGACAGUAGCAUGUUUGAUCCCAGUAAGGGACUUUGCGAGGAUGUCAGCGAGUUGAUCACCAGUCCUUAUGUGCUGAAGCAGAAUGAGACCUUCUUGGAGCUUAGACCUCACGAAGUGGCAGUCAACUUCAAUGUGCUUGGUGUGCUCGUGAAACACAAAAUUUCUGGCAAUGUGGAGAGCAGAUUGACUGUCACAAAACACAAGGAUAGGCAGGUCAGGAGGGACAGUUAGCUAUGUAAGUACACGAUGCAGCUAGACAAGUUCACCAACAACCUUCUUGAUGGAUAUAUAUUAUGCUUCUGCUGAAGAAAAGGAGAUGGUUUCUUGCUUUUUAGAUUUUCAGCUAAUGGGACUAUUUCCCAAGAGAACAAUAUAACCUGACACUGACUUCCUAGAAUCAGGGCAGGCAGCCCAAUCAGAAUCACAAUAGGCUUGGGCUGAGAAGUCAGCAUCAUUGGAUAUGGAUCCUUGAGUAAGUAUCUAAGCAUGUGAUAAGCAUCCUAAAGGUGAGGCUCCCUAGGAUCUUGCUUUUAAAUUGAAUUCUGUGUUCCGAGGCCUUAAAAACCUCAUUUAGCAUCACCUCGAUUUGCGUGUGCAGUCCGGGCGCGUAGCCGGAAAGCCGAAAUAUGAAAAUCUAUGAAAAAUGAUAAGUUUUGACUAUAAAAUGAGUUAAUUUGACUUCGGUCAAUGUUUUGGGUAAACGGACCCGGACCCAUGAUGUGACGGUCUCGGAGGAUCCGUAGGAAAAUAUGGGACUUGGACGUAUGCCCGGAAUUGAAUUCCGAGGUCCCAAGCCCGAGAAAUGAAUUUUUAAAUAAAAUUAUUUUCUGAAAUUGUUUAAAGGAAUUUGAAAUGAACUUUGAUUAGAACAUGUUGGUAUCGGGCCCGUAUUUUGGUUUCGGCGCGCGGUACAGGUAUUAUAUGUGAUUUAAGAUAACUCUGUGAAGUUUGGUAAGAAACCGAUGAGACGUGAUUCGGACCUAAAUUGCAAAAUUUGAUGUUUUAAGAAGUUUGAAAUAAUUCAUUGAUUUUGAGGUUUAGUUCGAUGUUAAUGAUGUUAAUUUGGUAAUUUGAUCGCACGGAUAAGUUCAUAUGGUGUUUUUGAGUUAGUACGUAUGUUUGGUUUGGAGCCCCGAGGGUUCGGGUGAGUUUCAGAUGUGUUUCAGAAGGUUUCAAACUCUUAAAAAGUUGCAGGUUUUCAGCUGUUGGUAUUCUGAUAUUUCCUUCUUCGCGUUCGCGGGAGGACCCUCGCGAAUGCGAUGUGUUAAUUAUGCUGAAGGAAAUUCCUUCUACGCAAACGCGCAACCCAGGUCGCAAACACGGUGCGUUGGGAGGUCUUCCCUUCGCGAACGCGGGCCUGGUAACGCGAACGCGAAGGCUAAUUGAGCCUGGGCAGGGGGUGGGGCAUUAAACCUACGCGAACGCGACCACAAGGACGCGAACGUGAAGGCUCGAGGGGUCAUUUCUCCACGAACGCGAUCCGUCUUCCACGAACGCGAAGGCCUACCAGGCCUAACCCAUCGCGAACGCGAUGAGUAAUUUCGCCCAGUUAUAUUAAGUUCCAAAAACAGAACACAUUACGGGAUUUUCAUUAUUUUUCACAAACUUCAUCUUCUCCAUACCUCUUGGGCAAUUUUUGAAGAACUUCUUCACCAUAACCUCUUGGGUAAGUAAUCUUUAACUUGUUUUCUUCCAUUUUUAUCAACACCCACUAGAUUUCUAGGCCUCAAACAUGUGAUUAAGGGUAAAAAAUUAGGGAUUUGUGUAGAGUUGGGGCUUUUUAAUUAUUUGGGAAUUUGACCUCAUUUUGGGGUCAUAUUUAAAAAUAAAUUAUAUAUUCGGGCUCGUGGGUGAAUGGGUGAUCGGAUUUUGGUCUGAACCUCGUGUUUUGAUCAAGCGGGCACGGGGCCAAUUUUUGACUUUUUUGGAAGAAUGAUUAGAAAGUUAUAAUUAAGCAUUGAAAUUGGAUUGUUUAGCAUUUUUUAUUGAUGUUAUGAAGUCGAUUAUGUAUAGAUACAAUCGAUUUGGAGCCGAAUUCGAAAGGAAAGGCGGUGUUUGAGGCUUGAGUUGGCCGUGGAAGUUCAAGGUAAGUGUUCGGUCUAACCUUAGCUUGAGGGAUUAGGAGUUGUGUCCUAUUUGCUAUUUGCUUCUUGUUGAAUACGACGUAUAGGCAUGAUGAUGAGUAUCUAUACGUUGGUGUCGAGCAUGACCGUGAGUUUUAAAUUGAUAUUUGUGGUGUUCUUAAAUGAUACUAGGGAUGCUUUAAUUGGUGAUUCUCGAUAUAGAGCAAGGAUUUAGUUUAUUUUCGUGGAAAGUAAUUAUGAUUGAGUAUUGAUGUUAGUUGAGAUGAGUAGGGAUUGAGUUAAGAUUGGUUAUAGUUGAUUCUCCCUUGCCGGGACGUAUAUACUUUUACUGUUGAGUUCCCUUGCCGAGAUAGUGUAGUUUAUUACUGAUCCUUUGCCGGGACUCGUGAUAUGGUUGAGUUUAAGGUAUAUAAAUAUAUUUGAUCGGGUUGCACGCCGCAACAUUAUUAUAUAUUGGAUUGGGUUGCACGCCGCAAAAAUAUUAUAUUGGAUUGGGUUGUACGCCGCAAUAGUAAUAUUAAUGGAUCGGGUUGUACGCCGCAACAGUGUUAAAUGAUAAGGGAUCGGUUGCGCGCCGCAACGGUGCUAUUAUUGUUUGUUGUAGAACUUGAACUGUUCUCUCUUAUCACUCUUUAGCUUCUGUUGGAUUUGAUAUGUUUCCCGUAGCAUGUACCCUCUUUCAUUUACAUUGUUUAUUCUUGUUUAUUUUUUUGCUGUAUAUUAUAUAACUGCACAUGUUUAUCUAGAGUCUAGUCCUAGUCUCGUUACUACCUUGUCGGGGUUAGACCAGACACUUACCAGCACAUGGGGUCGGUUGUGCUGAUGCUACACUCUGCACUAUGUGCAGAUACCGGAGCAGCAUUGGACAGUAGCACUGGGGAGCCAGCCUUCAGUCCACUCAGAGAUCCCGAGGUAGUCCUGCAGGCGACCACAGGCUCGACGUUCUCUUCUAUCUAUUUAUAUGUUCUGUUUCUACUUGAUUCCGAGAUAGACUGUAUUUCCUGGUUCAGACAUUUGUAUGUAGUAUUCAUAGACAGUCCGUGGAUAUUGUGACACCGGUUUCUGGGUAGAGAUAUAUGUUGGCAUUUUCGUACUGAUUUUGGUAUUAUAUUAGUCUAAGCCUUCCGCUUAAUUUCAUAUUUCGCUAUCAUUUAAACGUUGAUCACCUGUUAAUUCAAUUCGUUAAAAAAAGUUAAAAAUGAAAGAGAUUGAAUUUUCUAUAUUUCAUGGCUUGCCUAGCUUCUACGAGUAGGCACCAUGACGACUCCCGAGGGUGGGAAAUCCGGGCCGUGACAAUGUUGGCUCAAGUGUUGUACUCCAUAGGCUAUAUCUUGUCUAGUAUUGGUGAGGAAGUUCAAUUUCCCAUCUGUAAAAAGUAGGAUUAGACAAGGGUGUUCCUUCCUUAGCUUUCAACUUAACUAUAGGAUCAAGGGGAAAUGAGAGACUGGUAUAGUGUAGGCAAUCAUAGACUUUAAGGAGAUCAAGAACAAAUUUUCUUUGGGAGAUUAAGAUUCCGCCAUCUCUAAGAGUACUUCAAGUCCCAAGAAGUAGUGCAAUCUUUUUAAAUCUUUGAUUUUGAACUGCUCAUGUAGGAAGUUUUUCAACAUAUGAAUUUUAAGAAGGUCAUUCCCUGUCAGUAGGACAUCAUCUACAUAAACUCCCACAAAAACUACACAAUCAGCAGUUUUCUUGUAGAAUAAAGAGUAAUCAUGCAUGGAAUGACUAUAUCCUCUGGAGUAUAGGGCUUCGGUGAGCUUAGUAUACCAUUGUCUGUUGGCUUGCUUCAAGCCAUAAAGAGAUUUGUUCAAUCUACAAACUAGUCUAGGAGAGGAGACUGCAAGACCUUGGGGCAGCUUCAUGUAGACCUCAUCAUGCAAAUCUCUAUGAAUAAAGGCAUUGUUCACAUCCAACUGAAAGAGCUCCCAUUUCUUCUUAGCGGCAGUAGUAAUUAAGGCUCUGACAGUAGUCAUUUUUACCACUGGAGAAAAAGUUUCUGUAUAGUCUACUCCUGCCUUCUGUGUAUAUCCUUUUACAACUAAUCUAGUUUUGUAUCUCUCUAUACUUUCAUCUACUUUAUGUUUGACAUUGUAUACCUACUUGCAACCUAUGGCUUGCUUUCCAGCAGGCAAUGGAACCAAUGUUUAGGUGUUAUUUGCAUGAAGUGCUUCAAAUUCAAGUCAUGACUUGUUGCCAGGCAGGAUUGCCUGCUCCUUCUUCAUAAAAAGAGGGCUCCCUGUCAUUACAAAUACUUCUCACAACCUACUGGCUAUCAGGACCCAAGACAUCAGGAAUAAUGUGGUUGUUUUGGGUAAAAAAAGCAUUGAGAGAGAAAAGUGAGUUAGUCUGACUGACUUCAACAUUCUGAGGUUGUUUCAGAUUGGGCACAGAACAUACAUAUUCAGACAAGUAAGAUGAAACUUUAGAUACUCUACUGGAUACUCUCUGAUUGGGUUUUAGUAUGGAAGGAGAGGGUUGAUUAAUUGUUGAAGUGAUUGGAGAUAUUGUUUGUGAUGAAAUGGUGUUAGGGAUAUGAGAUGAGUGUAUGGUAUGAUUAGGUGACAUUGGAAUAGGUGAGUGUAUAGUGUGAUUAGGUGACAUUAAGAUGGGUGUAGUAGAAACAUCUCUUUGAGGAGUUGUGACACUAUCAGUAGGAUAAGAGGGAAAAACAACAGAGUGGUCAUGAUGUGCAACAGUAUGAGGUAAGGAAGAGGAAGGAACUGGCACUGAUUGAAGAGAUAAAGGAAAUAUGGACUCAUGAAAAACAACAUCUCUAGAUACACAUAUUUUUUUAGUAGCUAGACUCAAUACUUUGUACCCCUUGACACCAAAAGGAUAACCUACAAAUACAUGUGGAGAAGCCCUUGGAUCAAACUUGUCUCUGUGAGGUUUAGGAAUAGUUGGAUAUCAUAGACAACCAAAACUUCUUAAGUGUGAGUAAUUUGGUUUCUUUCCAUACAAUAAUUCAAAAAGACAUUUGUUCUUUAAAGGUACAAUGGGCAAUCGAUUGAUGAGAAAAGUUGUUGUAAAUACACAUUCUCCCCAAUAUCUCAAAGGGAGUUUGGCUUGAAAUAGCAAGGCUAUGGCAGUUUCUUAUAGGUAUUUAUGCUUUCUUUCUACCAUGCCAUUUUGUUGGGGUGUAUAAGGGCAAGUUCUUUGGUGUUCAAUUCCUUUGGACUGAAAGAAUAGGGUGGCUUCACUACUAGUAAAUUCCAGACUAUUGUCUGAUCUAAUGCACUUUACUCUGGUAGUAAAUUGUGUCUCAACCAUAGAUAUGAAACUUCUGAGAGUGUGUAAUGCUUUUCUCUUACAACUGAGUAGAUGAGUCUAAGUGGAUCUAUUAAAAUCAUCUACUAUAGCAAGAAAGUAUUUAAAAUUGUCAUGAGUGGGUAUAUGAUGAGGUCCCCACAAAUCUAUAUGUAAGAGAUCAAAUAUAGCAGUGGUGUUUGUAACUUUUAAGGGAAAAGAAAGUCUAGUUUGUCUGGCCAUAGGGCAUAUAGAACAAAGAAAAGGUUGUUUUGAUGCAAAGGUCACUGUUAUGUUAGACAUCCCUUUCAUCUUCCAAAAAGGUACAUGCCCAAGUUUGUAGUGCCAUAACAGAUUUAUAUCACUUGCAUCAAUUGAAAAAGAGUCUGAAUCAUAACCCCUGUUUGUUUUAUUGCACGCAAAAGUAUUUACAAUAGAAUAUGGAGACACAAUAUUUACAGUAGAACAGGGGUGACAGUAAUGGGAAGGAAACUAAAUAUUUACAGGAGGACAAGACUGACAAGAAUGAGAAAAUAAUGUGUUGCACUAUCAUCAUUGUUUCUCAUGGAGAAAGAGGAAGUUGCACUCUUCUUUGCUACAUCAGAACUUCCUUUGUUCAAGCAGUCUGAGUAGAGAAGAUAUAACCUAUCAUGAACCUUACCAAUCUCCAGAGGCCUUCUUCAGAGAAGGGGCCGACAGAAGACAACAUGUGUUAGAGAAAGAAGCAAGACAUUUGAGAUGUGCUGUUAAUGAACUAAUAGAGAUAAGAUUGUAUUUGAAAGAAGGAACAAAUAGGACUCUAUAUAAAACUAUUUCAGGUGUAAGAAUCACAGUUCCCACUUCUGUUACUUUGACUUUGUAACCAUUUGGUAAUUUCACAAGUAAAGAAUAAGGUAGGGCAAUUAUAUUCUAUAGGUGUGUCUUGUUAAAGGUCAUGUGGUAUGAAGAUCCUGAGUCUAGAACCCAUAAGUCAGCCUCUGCUUAAAAGCACUUGCAUAAGAGUUUGUCAAAAUCUAUAGAAGAAGUAAAAGUCACAAUAUCUGUAAAGUUUCCUGGAAAGUUUACUGUUCCAUUGGCUACAUUCGUAUUGCUUGAAGUAUCUCAUGCACCAUCACUUUGGAAGUGUUGAAGUAGCCUCACUAUUUGGUCAAAUUGCUCCUUUGAAAGAUUCAUGUUUUGGUUACUGUGACUUCCCUGAUGCUCCAAAUCUUCUCCUUGGUUUGUCAUUACAUCUGUGGAAAUUGUGGUUAUCCCUUGUCUACACUAAAAUGGCAUUCCUGGAUACUACACUAAAAUUAGGCUUCUUUAGAAAGUGAAUUCAAAAUCCAUAAAGUUACCAUAUCGUUACAUCUCUCCCAUUGUCUAAAGUUUAACGACUUCGAAUUAGGUUUUUCAUAUUUCUCAGUGAUGAAGCCUAAUUUGUUUUUAAUAGAGAGGGCCCUCAAUACACCUCUCCUCCAUGAACAAUAUCCUAGCACAUCAAAAGGAACUGGAACUAAAACCAGUCCAUGACUAUCAGAAGGAUGAAUAUAAAGCGGACUACUUACAUCGAUUGUCGAUUGGAUCGCUGUUGUUGUUGCAAUCGUAGUAUUUGGGUCGUCUACCGCCAUGAUUAGUUUACCUUGAAGUAGAAAACGAAAGAGAAGAAACACCGAUUGAACGAGUGAAUGAAGCUGCAGAGAACCUCAAUUGAAUGAGUGUAGCUUCGAUUUGUUUGUUCAUUUGAGGAUUGAUAUCGCACAAAAAAUGAACCCUAAUUUUGAGCAUGAAGAAGGCAAUACCCUGCGCAAUUCAAUUCUGUGGAUCGCUUGAUCGUGAGAACUGCUCUGAUACCAUGUCAAGCUUUGGAAUUACAAGCUUAGAAAGCUUCGUAGCUACAAUGGAGGAAGCAAUUAGAAGCUUCCAGAAUAUCGAUUGAAGAGAAGGAGAAACUGAGAUGGAGUCUCUAAUUGAGAAAAGCGAAACUCAAACUCAAUUAUGUUGCAGCGUAGUUCUUAUAUACAGUGAACAUUAAGCUAACUAACUAAUCCAGAAAUGACAGCUAAGCAUUAACUAACAACUCUAACAACUAACUAACAGCUAACAAUAACUGACUAAAGCAACAGUAAUAAUUAACUACUGAAUAAAUACAAUUCUCUAAUCUUAAUAGAUGAGUUAUGAGUUAUUUACGUGAAAGUACAAAUUUUUAAAAAAACCAUUAUUAUUGCGUUAAUAUCAACAAAACUAGUCUUAAUUGCCUGUUGAUGACAUAUUACUAUAUAUAUUCCCUAUUAAUAAACUAUAAGAUAAGUUAAAUCACCUGAUUAUUUUCCUAUUCGGGCAUUAUUGGUUAACGUUGACAGAUUCAAUAUUACCUAAAUCAAUUAACGUUUACAACUUGAUAUUUCCAUAUUCUUUUUAAGGUCGUUCUACUUUAUUUUCAAAGUGUCCAAGUAUCAUCGUUGACAAAAACUUUAAAAACUGCUUUAUGAUAUUUUAAGGUACAACCUUUUUGUGACCUUGUACAACUUCUAUACUCCUAAUCUUUAACUUUCUGAUGUCAUGAUUUGACUUAAAACAUAGUACGAAAAGAAUAAAUAGAUAUAACUCUUCUUUUUUUUUUUAAAAAAAAAAAAGAAGCAUUAACGAACCAUGGACGAAAUAAGUUUUAUACUGUGGUGGUAAGAAUGAAAUACAAAAAGAUAACUCCUCAAAAGAAAGCAUAGGUUUUUUCUGUUGUCCAGCUUAAUCAAUUGAUGUUGACAAAUAAUUUUACAUCAUUGUAAAAGAUACAAAACAUUUGGCAAAACUUUAAUUUUACCUUUCUUGAAAUAAACAAUUCCUUAUUUUAUUCAUUUAAAAAAAGAUUAAUAUUGUUAGGUGUUUGCCAUAAUUUUCUUAUCAUAUUUGGUUUUCCUAUUUGUUGAAGGAAAGGGUAAUAUAAUUACCUUAAUUGGGUUUUCCUUUUUGUAGAAGGAAAUUAUAAUUCUCCUAUACUUGGUUAGUCCUUUUUCUUGUAGGAAAAUGUUUGGAGUUCUAUAAAUUGAAGAUCUGUCUUUCUCAUUCAGUAGCAUCCACAAUAUAGUCAUAAGAGGCUUGAGAGUAGUGUUUAGGGGGAGAACUUUAGGGGACACGUGUUAGUAUGUAGGGGUGUCAAUGGUUCGGUUCGGCCGGUUAUUUUAUAAAAUUUGUACCAUACCAAUUUUUCGGUUAUUUUAUAAUGUAUAACCAAAACUAGACUUUUCGAAACCAUCCCAAUCAUGUCGGUUUCACUUCGGUAUCGGUACGGUUCGGUUAAUUUUCGGUAUUUUUUAAUGUCAUAUAAAAUUCACCAGUAAAAGUAGAAUGCAAUAACGUACGUUCUUUUAUAGGACUUAGCGAAACUCUCUAGACAUUUUUACUGUUUAAAGGAUAAUGAAUUAAAAAACAAGAAAGAUGGCUAGAGUAUAGAUACACAACUAUUCGACACCAACGUAAAAGAAACCAAGUAAAAGCAAAGAAAAUAUAAAUCACACGAGUAGAAAGAUAUUAACCAAGUUGGGACUCAAGAAUAAAGUCUAUAUUAAAUAUUUAAAAAGAUAAAUCUAAAUUAUAUAAAAGAAAACAUAUUCAAACAUUGUAGUUUGCUACUCAUAAUCGUUAGAAUACUUUGUGUCUUGCUAAUAAAGAUACUUGAAAUAGCUUAGUUUAAGUAUAAGUAGCAGAAUAGGUUUUAGGAAUUAGUAUUUUGAGUUUAAUUACUUACUGGCUUGUAACAGUUUUCAUAAUUCCAAGACCCAAUGAAAAAUUUAAUACUUUAUUAGUUUUAAACUUACUAUAUGAAUAUAUUUUUCACAUGUAAAAUUUAUUCGGUACGGUUCGGUAUUUUUUUGGUUUAUUUUUAUAAAAUAAAAAACCUACCCUAAUUAUCGGUACGGUUAUAGAUUUAUAUAAAAACCUACGAUUUCUUUAAAAGAAACCUAAAAAUCGGUUCGGUGCGGUACAGUUCGGUCGGUUUAGUCGAUUUUCUAAUAUACAUUGACACCCCUAAUAGUGUGUCACUUGUGUUUGCCUCUUCGUGAGGUUGUUCUCUCGAUAUUUUGUACUCUCUUUUUAUAUAGUGGAUUGCUCAUCUCCGCGGUGGACGUAGGUCAGUUGAUCGAACCACGUUAAAUGUUUGUGUCUGUUUUUGGUAUAUUUCUCCUUUUGUUGUUUGACUUAUCGUCGUUCAAGGUUUACUUUGCUAGCUUCCGUAUGACACCUGAUUUUUUCGGUCCUAACAAGUGGUAUCAGAGCGAGAUUCAAGACAGGUUCAUCUUGGCGGGUUCAGUUCUAGCCGCAACAUGUUUGACGAUAAUCGUGAUUUUUUUCUGAGAAAUUUGACCAGUGUGCUAUGCACGUUGAGACAAAUUUUGUGGUGGAGAUUUGGAGAUGCAACCUGUUGAAGGCUAUGUGAAGAAGGUGGAUCAAGUUUAUUUUGUCAGAAAAUUCCGGCCAAGGGGGAGAAUUGUUAGGUGUUUGCCAUAAUUUUCUUACCAUAUUUGGUUUUCCUAUUUGUUGAAGGAAAGAGCAAUAUAAUUACCUUAAUUGGGUUUUCCUUUUUGUAGAAGGAAAUUAUAAUUCUCCUAUACUUGGCUAGUCCUUUUUCUUGUAGGAAAAUGUUUGAAGUUCUAUAAAUUGAAGAUCCGUCCUUCUCAUUCAGUAGCAUCCACAAUGUAGCCAUAGGGGCUUGAGAGUAGUGGUUUAGGGGGGGGGGGGAGAACGUUUACGGGACAAGUGUUAGUAUGUCACUUGUGUUUGCCUCUUCGUGAGGUUGUUCUCUCGAUAUUUUUGUACUUCUCUUUUUAUAUUGUGGAUUGCUCAUCUACGCGGUGGACGUAGGUCAGUUGACCGAACCACGUUAAAUGUUUGUAUCUCUUUUGGUAUAUUUCUCCUUUUGUUGUCUGACUUAUCGUCGUUCAAGGUUUGCGUUGCUAUCUUCCGUAUGACACCUGAUUUUUUCGGUCCUAACAAAUAUAUAUCGUACAAAUUUACUUUUUUUUUCUCUUGUAUUUUCAAACCUAUUUUGAAAAUAUUUUUCUUGAGCCGAAGGUUUAUCGAAAAUCGUCUCUCAACCUGACAAGGUAGGAGUAAGGUUUGCAUACACUCCACCCUCCCUAAACCCCAUUAGCGGGAUCACAUUGUGUAUAUAAUUGUUGUUAAAAUUUACCUAGCAACUAUUGAAUAACAAAUUUCAAGAUUUAUAAGUUUUGUAAUUGACUGAAGGUGGUAUAGAUUAUAUAAACUUUUUAAAAUCCCACUAUGUAAGAAAAAAAGGGGAGCCAAAAGUCAAUAAACUUGGAGUUUGAAUUUUACUUUUAACCUUUUAUUAGAUAGAUAAUCAAUAAAACAAAAACUUCAUCUGUUUGGACUUAAACUAUACAUAAAACUUUUAUUUGUGAUGCUCAUUUUGCAAAAGUGGGACCAAAAAGUCAAAAUAAUCUUUUUCUGUUCACAUUGCAAAGCUUAAAAGGAGAUUGUUUACAAUCGCUAGAGCGAGAGUAUGAGAGCUGAAAGAAGAAGUUGAAAGAGGGAAAAAUGAGUGAAGGUGAAAAAGGUCCAUACUUAAAUAGAGGUUGUCUAAUAUAUAAUGUGUUGCUUUGACUACACGUAUACAUGUCAUAUUAAGUUUGCUUUUAUUGUCACAAAGAGUGACAAGUAUAAUGAUUUUUUAUAUUUAAUAAAUAAUAAUUAAGUUUUUUAGCAUUUAAUUUAUUGCAAUUAUAAUUAUAGGUUCAAAUCUAAUAUUUGUCUAGAUUUUAGUAAAUAUUUUCAUAUAAAUUUAUACUAUUAAAAAUUUAUGGAUUCAAUUGAAUUCGUAUCCGAAAUAUUACAUCCGCCCUUGAGCGUAUCUUGUUAGAGUAAGAAAAUGCCGAGGCACGUGUUUUAGUUUUUGGUUGUCUCACAUUGAAGUAUUUAGUACACACAGUUUGAAUAUAGAUGAAGUGUUUAACAAAUUAUAGGCUUAAUUUAUGUGUUUAAAUGUAAAAUUCGAACAACUUUAAAGGGCGUUCAAUCAAGGAUAAAAAAUAAAAAAAAUUAAUGCCUUGGCUCAAUCCAAUUUAUGCUAACAAGAUAAUAGGUUCCUUCAAUAUGUUUGUAUAGAAAAUAAGAUAACUCUUUUUUUGUUAUGACGAAGAAGAAGCAAACCCGAAAAUAAAAAAGAUAAAGAACACCAAAUUUUAACGUGAAAAUCCUUCAAAUCGAAGGUAAAAACCACGGGAUCACAAAGAUCCAGAAAACUCCAGUAUAAUAAUAAGAGGGUUACAAAAGUUCUCCAAAUUGAAUAUACAACAAGUGCCAAACACGGAGCAACAACUGUAACAAGAGCAACAACUAAUCAAUUGAAGAAAGAGGAGAAUUCACAAAAAUGAAGCUGCUGUUCGAGGCUCGAAAUCAGAUUCUACGAGCCUCCAAAUCCGAUCUCUACCAUUGAAAUCCAAGACCAAGAUGUUACAAACACUCAGUCAGAAUUUCAGCCUGAUCCAACGGUUAACGAAUCAGAAAGCGUGAUUUGANNNNNNNNNNNNNNNNNNNNNNNNNAUGUGCUUAAGUCUUUCAAAGACUUGUAUCAAUGAGCAUAGAAUAAUUCUCCAAGGUUGUCCUAUUUAUAGAUCAUGAGUGGUGCUUUCUCUUAAAGCCAAAACCCACUCAAAAUAGGAAUAAACCGAAUCCAAUUCUAAAUAGGAAUGAAAACCAAAAGAGAAUAGGAUUAGACCAUUGGGCCUUUGGCUGGACAACAUGGGCACGAGCCCAACACUUUUUUCUGUUCAUAACAACUUCAGCAUUCCUUUCUCAUUGGCUUAUGAGCAGAUUUUCAGGAAAUAAAAGAAGAAAAAUAAAGAAAUGCUUAAUAAUACAGAAAUUAAGCAAAAAAUAUUAAUGGUCAAAAUUUUAAAUUGCAGGAUGUUGCAACUUGCAAAGGUCAUGGUUACUAAAUCACUGUGGUAAUUAGGAUGUGUUAUUUUUAUCUCUUUAAAAUAUUAUUAUUAUUUUUAAAAAAAAAUCUAGUUUCUUCUAACACUUGCAUUCUUUAUUAUUCUUAUUAUUGUUGCUUGAUUCUUCUAAAGGUGUUGUUUUUAAAUUAUAUGUUUUGUGAACUAGUUUGUUCAUAACGUUCAUUACAUGGUCUAUUAAUUGAUUUUAUAGUAAUAGAAAUACACAUAAAUUCGGUCCUACUUUAUGGUAAUUUUGUUUCGUAACUUAGAGAUUUUCACUUUAUUUAAAAGCUUUCCACUAGUAUUAAUGUGUAAUUACCAGUUAAUUUGUAAUUGUCAAUAUUUCCAGAAGUUCAAGGACCUAAAUUUUCACAAUCAACCUACUUCGACUUCGUACGAUAUUUGGCGAACUUUCUGUAUACAAUUUAAUAUACUUACAGUAUCAUGAUUCACAUUGUUAGGAGGUACAAAUAUAUUAUACUCCAUAGAUGUGAAUGAUCACGCCUAAUUAUACCUUAUAAAAAGGAUAAUGCGGUCGCUACAAAUAUAUGCCGGUUAACAAGUUCGGAGUCGAAUCCCACAGGGAAUUAACCUAUCAAUCACAGCUAUUGAACUCACAGAAAUUCACGUAUUCAAUCUUCAGAGAUAUUUAAGUAACAGAUUGGAUGUUUACUAACUAAAUAUUACGUAAUGAAAAUGCAGUAAUGAAGAACUAACUAUGAAUGGUUUGUAAACAAGAAUUGGAAUGAUCUAAGGUUCCGAUUUUCCCUAUUGUCGAAAUCCUUUCCUCUACGUUUGCUAUAAAUUUGCCUAAGUCUUCUCUAUCGAUCAUGAGCACUCUGACUGUCGUAACUCUCUACUGAGUAAUUACAACAAUAUAAUAGACAUAUUCUCCCGAAUUACACUAGCUAGCUUUAAGUACAGCUCACUUAGAUCGCACCCAAAGUUUCAUUAUCUCUAAUUCCAUCUUUAAACCCUUCAUAUUGAUCCCUCAUAUACGUUAGGAGUGAUGAUGUUCAACUACUACCUAAAUGUGCACUCUUUCCCGAGUAAUGCACACGAAAUAGGAACAACUAAUUGAGGGCCCUUCAAUCAACAUUAAUAAGCAUAUAGUUGAACAAAUAGAGAGAAUACUAUAUCAAAUCUAUAUUAACGUAACGAGAAAAUCAUCCUUCAACAAGUUCCAUCAAAAUCCUAGAUUAUGAGUUUAGCUACUCAUACUCAUAGUACCAAUAUCCAAAGUAAUUUGCAUAAUUAAAUUACAGAGUAAGGAUAAAGAGAUAUAGAAAUCAAUGAUUCCAACUCCCAAGUAGUGUUCCACGAGCUAUUCUUGUCUUUGGUUGCAAAAGUCCUUCAAAGUGGCAUUAUAUGUUUGGGACAAGCCCUAAACAUGUAGGUCAACUCUUACUCAAGCCGUAAAAUAAUUAAAACCUUCGAAACUCGGACUGGGCCUGGCCUUAGGCCUGGCUAACGCCAGUCUCAGCCUGGCUUUAAGCUGGUGUCACCAGGCUAAUGCCUAGCUAGGCCUAGCUUUAAGAUGGCGUCGCUAGGAUAACGUCUGGUUGGGCCUGACAUUAAGCUGGCCUCGCCAGGAUAAAGCCUGAUCGAGCUGGCUUUUGCCCGGCUUCUCCUUUUCACCGUUCUCGAGCGCACUUUCGACUUUUAAGCUAGCUCUACUUUCAUUUCUGAUGCACCUACACAUAAAAUAGACUCCAUUACGCUCAAACAAAGUAUAAUUUAACAUUAAAACAUGUAAAACACAAAGCAUAUAAUGUGCAAAACCAUGAAUUAUAGCCACACAUCUAUACCCCGCACUUAAAUAUUUGCUCGUCCUCGAGCAAUCAAGCUACACUUAUGGAUACAACCUAUUAAGCAAUUCCCUUAACUUAUUAUACCUAGAAUCUUUAAAAUAGUUUAAGCACAAAGGCGUGACAUCCUCGCCUCAAUAAUCGACUCACAAAUACCAUGCUUUAUUCACAAUUCACUUACUUACUCUAAUAUGGAGGUCGACAACAUUACCUUUCCUUUAUGAAUCAUGUGCCCUCACUCAAUCAAAGAGCUUAGUUUCACACACCAUGAAUUUUAAUAACGUAGGAACUCAAGAUAGGAAAAAUUCACUCGCUCUCAGAAAUAACAUUCAUAUGCCCCAAAUGACGUACCAUAAGCUUGCCAUUAGUGUAAUACUUUACUAAUCGAGUUCAUUCAGUCUAAGAUCAAGUAGGACUUUCAUUAGUUGUAAUGUAGGCUGUGGGUCGGGUAGGAUACAUUUGGAUAUAAGUGACUACACCUCCCUUAAGCACUUUAAUACACAUACUUCAACCNNNNNNNNNNNNNNNNNNNNNNNNNAUGGCUUUUAUUGACACAUUUUUUUCAUCCGAUACACCUUUCUCCUUAUUUCAUUGUUCCACUCAAAAGCCAACCCACUACCCCAUACUUUAACUUUUCCAUAAUUCAUCACAAUUUAAGUGCUUACGAGAGGUGACAAGGUUCAAAUAUAUGGUCUAUUCAAACAACGGGCUAUGGCUUGUAAUGUGGUUACCAAAGAAACAUGAUUAUAGGCUCAAAAGGGUUAACUACGAUACAUAACAUUUAGGCGGGUAAUUUAUAUAUAUCUGGCUUAACAAAGAACUGCCUAUAUCACUUCUCAGACUGAACAAGACUACUAUUUUGCUUUGCACACAUACGAGGCAAGUUCUAGACAUCAAAUGUAAUGCACAGAAUACAUGCGAACCUCACACAGACAUGGCACAUAACUCAUUCAGAAUUGUUUUUAUCACGACACUCCAGUCAAAGCAAUUAAGCAAAUUUAAGGAUCCGCGGUUUAAGGUAUUUAUCCUAGAGUCAAAAAUUGAGCCUAAGCGUCUCAACCAGAGUACUGAAUAUUCUCAAGGCAUCACAAAGCUCAGAGAUAUUGCUUCGAUUAAGUGCUUAGCCACGUGAUUCCUACUCCUAAAAAUUAAAACUACCUACACCCGGUUCGACUAAAAAUCCUUGGAAAAGAACCGCGGCCCAAAGAAAAACCAAGGGGGAAUUACUACACUACAUAAAAAAACUUUUUGGUAUUUUUUUAGACUUACUUCCCUCAAAAAAAUUAUCUAGGAGAUCCAUCGUCGGGAAGAGUCCAACAUAUUUAUGUUUUUUUUAUUUCUGCCUAAAAACGACUAACAGAAAAAAAUACAAUUAUAAUAAAAACAAAACAAGACAAAUUCUAACAACUAAAAAAAAUAAAAACAAGCUAACAACUACUAAUAGCUACGAGUUCUCACCCGACACUUAAAUCAUGCAUUGUCCUUAGUGCAUGCACUUUUAGACAAAACAAGAAAUAACAAGAGUAGGGUGCAAGAAAACUACCUGGUCAAGCAACAUCGUCAUCCUCUGGCGCUCUCCACUCUUAAUCAUGUUUGUCCACUUCAUCAUCACCAUCUCCCUCACCAUCUGACUGUAUUGGCUCCGCCUCAGACUGCUCCGGUGUGUUAACAUCCUCAUCAGUGGGGAGUCUGUAUCCCUCUCCUACACCAACCAGCUACUGAGCAUGAGCAUUGGGUGGGUAUCACUGCUCCAAAUCAGUCCUCUCCUCAGAUGUGGCCGGGCGACCCCCUAUCUGCAGCUACAAAUCCAUCAUCCCAUAAAGAUGGGCCAUGAAACUAUCAUCACACGCAUUGCGCUUAACACCUGUCAGUGUCCCAGCCUUGCCUUUCAGCUGGGGAUUUGUGAUAUCUGUUUGUCGGAUGAGCUGAUCGAUAAUGUGGUCAAAUUCAGGCUCUUCCUCAACCCUCUCAUGCUGUAGGAACCGAGUCAGGAAAUUAGGAAAUGGCAUUCGAUCAAUCUUUUUACUCGUUCUCACUGAAGCCAUCUGGUGGCGAAUCAGGUGACCCACAUUCACCCUCUGCCUUGUCAUAAGAAAAUAUAGCACACAGGUUCUCACACGGCUUACAAGUGUGUCAUGAUUGCAUGGUAGGAGCUGUGUGUUUAUCAACUUGAGCCACACCUGAGCCUCUACCUUCAUCUUCUUCUUAGGGAACCUCUUGUGAUGAUUCGUUUCCUUGUCCCAAACUCAUGCAGCAGUAGAGUCGACCACACAGAGCGUGUGGCUCAGCUCUCUAUAAGUAGGCCUGCUAAUGAAUUGUUCCAAUGACUCCACGGGAAUAUUUGGAGCACCUAAAAAGUCGCAUAUGGCCUUGGGUGAAAAAUCUAUCAAGGGUCCACGGAUUGGAACCAACUCCUCAGUGUCCUGUGGGUCAAACCCCGCAUAGAAUUUCUUGACUAAGUUGAGAUUGAUGUCCCCUGUGUUCUUAAAAACAUAGUUUAACCCCAAAUCCUGGAUGCCUUUCCAAAUCGCCGGAUACUUUGCUUUCACGUUGCGUUCCUAGAUAGCUCCCUCCGAAUGGAUAUGUUUAGGCCUACAGUGCUUGUACCAAUCCCUCGUAUGUGGAGGUAUGUUGUUUAUGCCAAAUUCCCGUUGGCCUGGGGUUGUGGACGCAAUGCAGCUACAGCUGCCAACGCUUGGGCACCAGUCAUACUAGAGGAAUCUCCCCUCUUUCUUUUCUUUAGAGAGGGUGCGUAGGUUGACUUUGCUUUAGCUUGGGCUGUUAAAGUGGCCUUUCCCUUGCCUGUGUAUUUUCUGGAGGCAGCUUUGUUCCUAUACAUAUAAGCAAUAGUCAGAUAAUACUACAUGACACACUACACAUAUAAUCUUCCCCAACUUGACGAGGUUACUCAAACUUUACCUCAUAUUGUCUUAACAUUAGAAUCACACCAGAACACAUGGGCUACCAGUGAGCCACCCCACACUUAAGAUGUUAAUGUGGUACACGAUUACAUAAUACUAGAUUACCAAUCCUGGAGACUCGGGCUCCAAAGGGGACUAGGAAUGACAUAUAGGUAUUUCAUCAAACACUUGACAAACACUAGUGCCAUGGGAGUUCAUAUGGACUUGAGGGAUUGCCUCAUCCUCCAAAAUCAGCUUGGGAGUUCCGUACUACCACAUAUUUUCACAAUCUCAGCACCAUUCCUAAGGGGUUCAUAGGAUUGGGGCACACAAAUACAAUAAGACCAUGAAGAACAACCACCCAUAAUGAAGCACAACCAACAAUAAAGAAUAACUAACAAUGAAGAACAACCCCCAAUCAAUACAUGUACCCAACUCGAAAUUACCAAGAAAAGAGAUAGAAUCAUACAUUUGAAGCUUUGUGAGGAGUAGAUUGCCUUAGAAUUUCGGAUGAGUAUGAAAGACUAGCAAGAUGAAACUUGACCUCUAUGUGGAUGGUGAUUGUGUGUGGGUGAACAAGCAAUUUGUGCAAUAUGUUUGUGUUCUUGUGAAAUUUCUUGUAAAGUUUGGUGUGUGUUGGUUGAAGUGAGGUUAGGGUUUCCUUUGUACAGUGUUCAGUGAGUGAGUGCAUGUUUGUGAUGUUUGGUUCGACCAAAAUAAGGAGAAAUAACUUAAAGAGGGCCGAAAUUACCUACCUGGCAUUUGCCAGGCAUUGCCAGCCUAAGGCCUGGCUGACCCUGGAUUUAGCCAGGCGACGCCAACCUAAGGCCUAGCUGACCCUGACUUUAGCUAGGCGAUGCCAGCCUAAGGUCGGGUUGUCCCUGGCAUUUUCCCGACUUCGCGUGACAUUUAAACCUUGCUUGACUUGCCCAAACUCACCUGCAAACUUGUUAGUAUCUAAAAACAAAAAGAAAAGUUCUAACUACACUAAAAAUCAACUAUGAAUUGGGUUGCCUCCCAACAAGCGCCUUAGUUAACAUCGUGGCCCGACGAAUACAACAGUCCAAUGGGUUGCCUCCCAAGCACGAUGCAGAUACGCGCAUUUAAGUAUGCCCAACAUCGGAGGCUCGAUCAAAUGGAUCACUGACACUACCUUUGCUUCAUUUAUGCCCAUAUAAUAUUGUAAUCUGUGCCCAUUGACUCUGAACGUGCGAGAGUCAUUAUCCGCAGCAAUCUCUAUGGCACCCGUGGGGUGAAUUUCAACCACACGAAAAGGCCCUGACCAAUGUGAUUUUAAUUUGCUCGGAAAUAACCUCAGUCUUAAAUUGUAUAGAAAUAUCGUAUAUUUGGGUUUAAAACUCCGCUCAAUAAUAUUUCUAUCAUGUAUCAUCUUCAUUCUCUCCUUAUAUAAUCUUGUGCUCUCAAAAGCGUGAUAUCGGAAAUCAUCAAGUUCGUGAAACUCCGUUACUCUACUUGUUCCCACAACUUCAAUAUCAAGAUUCAACUAUCUCAAUACCCACCAAGCUCUAUGCUCCAACUCCACCGGUAAAUGACACGCCUUCCCAAACACCAACUUGUAUGGAGACAUGCCGAUUGGAGUUUUGAAAGCGGUUCGAUAAGCCCACAGCGCAUCAUCUAAUUUUCUCGCCCAAUCUAUUCUAGUAGCAUUCACAGUCUUAGUCAACACACUCUUUAUUUAUCUGUUCGAAACUUCCACUUGACCGCUUGUUUGUGGAUGAUAUGGGGUGACCACCUUGUGGCAUACAUCAUACUUCUCUAACAACUUCGCGAAGGCUCGAUUAUAAAAGUGAGUGCCUCCAUCACUGAUUAUUUCCCUUGGAGUGCCAAAUCGGGUGAAUAUGUUCUUUCUCAAAAAGCCAAUUACCCCAUUUGCAUCAUUUGUAGGGAGUGUUGCAGCUUCCACCCACUUAGACAUGUAGUCCACAACAACGAGUAUAUAUUUGUUGCCAUAUGAGCUGACGAAAGGCCCCAUAAAAUUGAUGCCCCAUAUAUCAAACACUUUAACCUCCUGAAUUGUGUUCAUGGGCAUCUCAUGUUGGCGGGAAAAGAUUCCCGGUUCGUUGGCAUUCAUCAUACCUCUUUAUCCAUAAAUGUGCAUCUUUGAACAAUGUUGGCUAGUAGAAGCCUGACUCUAAGGCUUUCACAGCUAUCCUUACUCCCCCGAAGUGCCCACCAUAUGGUGACGCGUGACAUGCCUGCAAAAUAGAAGACUGGUCUAUCUUGGGGAUACAUCUCCGGAUCAUGUUAUCAAUACAAAUCCUAAACAGAUAAGUCUCAUCCCAAUAAUACAUGCGACAAUCACGAAAGAACUUUUUCUUUUGGAUAGAGGAAAUGUCAUAAGGAACAAUAUCGCUCGCCAAGUAGUUUGCAAUGUCUGCAUACCAUGGCGCUCAAGACUCAUGGUUAGUAGUUGUUCAUAUGGGAAAGUUUCCAAAAUCUCCUCUACCUCAACCUUUUUCUCAGCUCCUUCCAGCCUAGACAAAUGAUCAGCUACUUGGUUUUCCGUUCCCUUUCGGCCACGGAUUUCCAAAUCAAAUUCUUGCAGCAGUAGUACCCAUCGAAUCAGGCACGGUUUUGACUCCUUCUUCUCAAUUAAGUAUCUGAGAGCAGCAUGGUCAGUAUAAACAAUUACCUUCGAGCCUAUCAAGUAUGACCUAAAUUUGUCAAAUGCGAACACUAUUGUCAGCAUCUCCUUCUCGAUCACAGUGUAAUUUAGCUGGGCUUCACUCAGCGUUCUACUUGUAUAGUAUAUUGGAUGCAUGAUUUUAUCUUUGUGCUACCCCAAGAACUGCUCCCACAGCAUAGUCACUCGCAUCACAUAUCAUCUCAAAUAGUUUCUCCCAGUCAGGGGCAACUAUGAUCGGUGCUAUUACCAGUCUCUUCUUUAGUUCCUCAAAUUCUACCCUGCAGUCAUCAGAAAACACGAAAGAGUGAUCCUUUUCAAGCAAUUUACACAAGGGGUUAGAAUUUUGGAAAAAUCUUUUAUAAAUCUCCUAUAGAAGCCGACGUGCCCAAGGAAACUUCUAAUUGCUUUGACGGAAGUGGGUGGUGGAAGCUUUUUUAUCACAUAAACCUUUGCUUGAUCUACCUCAAUGCCCUUACUUGACACUAGGUGCCCCAAGACUGUACCUUCCUGUACCAUGAAAUGACACUUUUCCCAGUUGAGUAUCAGAUUCUUCUCGAUACACCUCUUCAAUACUCUUCUUAAGUUUAUAAGGUAGUCAUCAAAUGAAUUCCCCACCACUGAGAAAUUAUCCAUGAAAUCCUCCAUUAUUUUCUCUACCAUAUCCGUGAAGAUGGCUAUCAUGCACCUUUGGAAUGUGGAAGGUGCGUUGCAUAGGCCAAAUGACAUUCUCCGAAAAGCAUAGAUUCUAUAAGAGUAGGUGAACGAUGUUUUUUCUCUGUCCUCCGGGGAAAUAGAGAUCUGAUUAUACCCCGAGUACCCAUCCAAAAAGCAAAAGUGGGAUCUCCCUUCCAAUCUAUCUAGCAUCUGAUCAAUGAAUGGCAGUGGGAAAUGGUCUUUCCUGGUAGCCAAGUUCAACUUCCUGUAAUCCAUAUAGAUUCGCCAACCUGUGACUGUUCGUGUAGAGAUCAAUUCGUUCUUCUCAUUUUUCACUACCGUCAUACUUCCCUUUUUUGGCAUACACUGAACUGGGCUAACCCAUUUGGUGUCAGAGAUGGGGAAUAUGAUUCCCGCAUCUAACCACUUAAUCACUUCUUUCUUCACCACUUCUUUCAUGUUGGGGUUCAGCCUUCUUUGAUGUUCUCUAGAAGGUUUGUGCCCAUCUUCCAGUAAAAUCUUAUGCAUACAAAAGGCCGGGUUGAUCCCCUUAAUAUCUAUAAUGGUCCACCCAAUUGCAAUCUUGCACUCAGUCAGUACCUGCAAAAGCUGUUCUGCCUGCAUAUCUAAUAAACUAGAUGGGAUAAUAACAGGUAAAGUUGAGUUAGGUCCUAAGAAUGCAUACCUAAGAUGAGAUGGCAGUGGCUUCAAUUCCAACUUUGGUAGCUCUUCUAUCGAUGGCUUAGCUGGAGGAGUUUUUCUUUCCUCUAAGUGAAAAGGCUCAAAUUUGGGCUCCCUUCUCCAAAAACCUUGGCCUUCAAGAGCAAGUAUCUACUUUGCCAAGUAUUCACCAUUAGCUUCAUAUAAGUUCAUGAGAUAGGCUGCUAGAGGGUCUUUAGUGUUCAAUGCCUCAUCUUCCUCCUCCAAAACUAUAUCCAUGUCAUCUAUAAGAGAGCAAUUAGCAAAUUCUCUUGGUCGCCGCAUCGAUUUAUGCAUGUUGAAUGUUAUCUCUUCAUCAUUUAAUCUCAUUUUGAGCUCUCCAGUUUCACAAUCAAUUAAAGCUCUCCCAGUGGCCAAGAAUAGUCUUCCCAAAAUUAUGGGAAUUUCCUCGUCAACCCGACAUUCUAGAAUAACAAAAUCUGCUGGGAAUACAAACUUCCCAACCUGUACUAAUACAUCAUCAAUAAUACCAAAGGGCCUAUUCACUGUCUGGUCAACUAGCUGUAGUAACAUAGACGUGGGUCUAGCUCUCAAUGCCUAGCCUUUUGUAGAUAGCUAGGGGCAUAAGGUUUAUGCUUGCUCCCAGAUCAUACAAUGCCUUAGCAAAUGCAUAGUUGCCUAUCGCGCAUGGGAUUGUGAAACUCCCUAGGUCAGACAACUUCUCAGCUAUGGGUCUCAUCACAACAACACUACAGGUCUGAGUCACUGUAACCGUGGCCAACUCUUGAAAGUCGAACUUGCGGGACAUCAAGUCCUUCAUCAUUUUCGCAUAACCAGGCAUCUCCUUUAAUGCAUCAAUCAAUGGAAUGUUUACCUGAAUUUGCUUCAACAUCUCCAAGAAUUUCUUGUACUGCUCAUCUUUUUGAUACUUGACCAAUCUCUGUGGGAAUGGUGUUGGAGGUUGCUUCUUCCCUGUGAUUUGAUUUUUUUUCUUGUUCAGGCACUGCUUCUACUAUAGGUUCCGGUACAACCUCAGUCUCUUUCACAACCUCUUGUUUUUUGCUGGCAUCUUACGCAUGUUGUAUUGUCACCUCAGUUAACCCUGCUGAAUCAUCUAUCUCAAUGGGUACUGGCACCAGUGUCUCAGUCGGUCUGCUUUCGCAAGCAAUUUCUUGCUCCAGAUCUAGGUCUCUACCAUUUCGGAGAUUCACUGCUAUAAGCUGCUUCGAGCCCUGCUCUUUUGGAUUGAUUUGUGUGUCUGCAGGUAACGUCCCGUGGGGACGAUUAUUUAAGGCCAUAGAAAUCUGUCCUAAUUGGAUUUCAUUAUUCUUUAUCACUGAUUCAUGUGAGUCUACUCUGUCAGUUACUUUUCUAGUGGACCCAAUCAUUUGUUGCAUCAUUCCCUCAAGUUUAGCAAACCUAUCUUCGUGUCUCACAGUCUGUUGUUGUUGAGGUUGUUGAUAAGCCUGCUGCUGAUUUUGCUGGUUGUAACCCUGUUUCCUUUGGUAAGGCACCACUUGACCCUGUGGUCGCAUAGCCCCAAGGUUAUUGCUGUUGUUGUACUGAUGCUGAGCUGGCCUAUAUUGUUGAUUCUGCUAACCCCAAUUCUGACCACCUUGCCUCUGUCCCCCAUAGUUGGCCACAUAAUUCAUGCUCUCUUGAUAUUGUUGGUUAUCACCUUCCGCACUCCACAAGCAGACAUAUGGUUGAUUAAUGCAUGAUGUACAUAAGCCCCCAUUAGUUGCAUCAACUAUGUGUACCAGCUGCUUCUGGCCUGAUUUAUCAACCUCUUUGGUGAAGAUGCUCAUUUGUGUCACUAGAGUGGCCAUAUUUUUAGCUAUGGAGUUAGUUGGGUCUAAAGCCACUGAGUGAACUACAAGAGUGAUUGGAGCAUUUCUUGUUGUCCAUCUUGAGUUUUGUGCCAUCUUGUCCAGUCAUAUCUUGCUUUCUCUGAAUGUUUUGCUAAAAAAUGCUCCAUCUGCUGAAACAUCAACAUUGGCUUUCAAUCUAUCUGCCAAACCCAUGUAAAACCUCUGCCCUAACAUUUGCUCCAGAAUACCAUGAUGUGGACAUGUAACCAGCAGACCCUUGAACCUCUCCCACGUUUCUUGUAAUGUCUCUGUUGGUUUUUAUAUGAAGCUCAAUAUCUCAUCAAUUUGUUAAGCAGUCUUGUUGGGUGGGUGAAAUUUGUUCACAAAUUGUUUGACUAAUUCCUCCCAAGUAGUGAUGGAAUUUAUGGGGGAGUGAAUUAAGCCAAGUCUGAGCCAUUCCUAUCACUGAGAAUGGAAACAAGAACAGUCGUAUUGCUUCCGUUGUCACGUUAUGUUGCCUCUGUGUGGCACAAAUUGAUAGGAAAUUCUUUCAGAUGCUACUGAAGAUCUUCAACGUAUGACCCCGAGAACAGUCCCUUUUUCUGCAACAAAUGUAGCAUGUUAUUUGUGAUUUGGAAUAAUUCUGCUUGUAUCUGAGGGACUACAAUUGCAGUUGAUAAGUUGUUAGUGGUGGGUUGUGCCCAAUCGUACAAUGCUGCUUCUAGCACAAGCGGCACCACACCCUGAUUGUUCGGGUCAUCCCCAUUAUUUCUGUUGUUUAUUUCAUCUCCCAUGUCUGGUUCAAUUAGUUCUAUUGAGUUCUAUGUGUGUUUGCCUUUCUUGUUUGCACGAUUCAAUGCCUUGAAAACUUUCUCAGGAUCUGAUAAUGCUUCAAACAAUUCACCAGUUCUUGAGGAGUUUCUAGGCAUGCAACUGUAACACCCAAGACUAUAAAUGUUAGAAUUUCAAUGAAUUUAGUUUAAAUUGAAGAAAAUUGACUACACUAAGAAUUUUUGCACUACUUUUUAACUGCAAUUAAUAACACCGUUAAUUUUCCGGCAACGACGUCAAAAUUUUAUCAUGCCCAACUAUACCUUAUAAAAAGGACAAAGUGGUCGCUGCAAAUAUAUUCGGUUAACAAGUCCGGAGUCGAAUCCCACAUGGAAUUAACGUAUCAAUCACAACUAUUGGACUCACAGAAAUUCACGUAUUCAAUCUUCAGAGAUUUUUAAGUAACAGAUUGGAUGUUUACUAACUAAAAAUUACGUAAUAAAAAUGCAGUAAUUAAGAACUAACUAUGAAUGAUUUGUAAACAAGAAUUGAAAUGAUUUAAGGUUCUGAUUUUCCCUAUUGUCGGAAUCCUUUUCGCUACGUUUGCUAUAAAUUUGCCUAAGUCUUCUCUAUCGAUCAUGAGCACUCUGACUGUCGUAACUCUCUCCCGAGUAAUUACAACAAUAUACUAGACAUAUUCUCCCGAAUUACGCUAGCUAGCUUUAAGUACAACUCACUUAGAUCGCACCCAAGGUUUCGUUAUCCCUAAUCCCACCUUUAAACCAUUCGUAUUGAUCCCUCAUACACGUUAGGAGUGAUGAUGUUCAACAACUACCUAAAUAUGCACUCUCUUCCGAGUAAUGCACACUAAAUAGGAACAGCUAAUUGAGGGCCCUUCAAUCAACAUCAAUAAGCAUAUAGUUGAACAAAUAUAGAGAAUACUAUGGAAAAUCUAUAUUAACGUAACGAGAAAAUCAUCCUUCAACAAGUUCCAUCAAAAUCCUAGAUUAUGAGUUUAGCUACUCAUACUCAUAGUACCAAUAUCCAAAGUAAUUUGCAUAAUUAAAUUACAGAGUAAGGAUAAAGAGAUGUAGAAAUCAAUGAUUCCAACUCCUAAGUAGUGUUCCACGAGCUAUUCUUGCCUCUGGUUGUAAAAGUCUUUCAAAGUGGCAUUUUCUGGUCUAUUUAUAUGUUUGGGACAAGCCCUAAACGUAUAGGUCAACUCCUAGUCAAGCCGGGAAACAAUUAAGACCUUCAAAACUUGGACUGAGCCUGUCCUUAGGCUUGGCGUUGCCUGGCUAAUGCCAGCCUCAGCCUGACUUUAAGCUGGCUAAGGCCUGGCUAGGCUUGGCUUUAAGCUGGUGUCGCCAGGCUAACGCGUUGGACCUGGCUUUAAGCUGGCCUCACUAGGCUAAAGCCUGGUCGAGCUGGCUUUUGCCCGCCUUCUCCUUUUCACCGUUCUCGAGCGCACUUUCGAUUUUUAAGUAUUACUUUAGCUCUAAUUUCAUCUUUGAUGCACCUUACGCAUAAAAUAGACUAUAUUACGCUCAAACAAAGUAUAAUUUAACAUUUAAAUAUAUAAUACGCAAGUCACGUGCAAAACCAUGAAUUAUAGCCACACAUCAGUGAACUUCAAUGUUUCUUUAAAGAAAAAUCAUGUUUCACAUUCUUAAAGGUUAUAAUAUAUCACAUUACAUUGAUUUGUAGCACUAACGUUUAUUUUUAUAAAAAAAGAAUAGAAUUUAACUUUUCAAUUCAGUUACAUAACAAUCUUAUUCUUCUGUACCGCCUACCGACCCCAAUAGAACCAUAUUCCUUGAAAAAGCCAAUAAAAAAUUGAACAUAGCACCAAUAAUAUUCUUCCAUUACAAAUAAAUUAUAGUUAACUACUGCCAAAUUUAUCUAUAACAGUCAUACUUUAUAAUAAUACUUUACUACAACGGUCAAAGUUUGUCUUUCAAACCAAUUUUUCUUACCUUUUAAGAUUUGCUGCAUUUUCAUAAAGUCAUUGGGCCACUCGUACGGAAUGGACGAAACACAAAUAAAAUAUUUUUUUUGACCUGAACAAUAAAAGAUUUAAGAACUUUUUAGCAUUGUUGGCUGAAAAAUCUGAUGAUCCUCAGAAUUUCUGGUGCUUCAAAAUUCUGGCGCUGGAAUCAAAAUUCUAGAGACGGACUACUUUUCAUAACUGGGUCAAAACUCAAAAUAAACGAAGGUUUUAAAAAGUUCUAAGCAUAAUUUUCGUAAAAAUAGCACGAGCUAGCCAGUUUUCGAAUUGGUAAUUAAAAAUAGCCACUGUUAGCAAACUCAUUAAAACAUAGCUACUAUUUUGCUGCAACACGGAAAGUUCCAGCAUAAUAUACCGGAGAUUGAUGCAUCUGUGUAUGAACUUCUCGCAUAUUAUGCUGGAACUCCAUCACACGGAAAGUUCCAGCAUAAUAUACUGGAGAUUGAAGCACCUGUGUAUGAACUUCCAGCAUAUUAUGCUGGACCAGUAUAUUAUGCUGGACCAGUAUAUUAUGCUUGAAGUUCACAUUUAAAAAAUUCGAACUCCAGUAUAUUAUGCUGGAAUAUUUUUCGAAUUUUGAACAGUAUUUUUGUUCAAAUUUAUCUUUACAUAAAAGUAGCUAAAUUUCAAUUACUUUUGUAACUGUGACUAUUUUUUAAUUACCACUUAUAAAUCUGGCUAUUUUUAAAUUUCACCCAUAAUUUUCUGCUACGGAAUCGUAUUGUGUCGGCGUCCUUGCUAUUACUACUACUUACCAAUUUAUUUCUAUGAGAUCCAAAAAGGACCCACAUUCAUAAAUGCAGAUUUAGGUCCUCAUUGAUUAGGCCCAACCUCACCUAAUAGGCCCAUCUGGUCCAACAAUCUAAAAUUCUUCUCUAACUGUUAGAGCUAUUUAUUUAUGAUUUUCAUUUUUCAAUUUUGACAAUAAUAACAGAUACUACUAUUAUUAAGGAAGAAUACAAGUGUUAUCAAGUAAGCUUUUGUUGCACAAGUCUAAGCAUAAUUCAAUGAUUUAGGCGUUUUGGUCGUGUAGUAUUAAGGUUUUUUUUUUUUUAAUUAUUAUUAAGGAAUUCUUAGAGCAUCACUGGAAUUCAUGUCAAAUAAUAAGUUCCAAAUUUAACUAGGUAAACUUUUAUCCUUCCCUCAUUUUGACAUAUAUACAUAAUAUAAUUUUUCAGCAAAUAGUAAUCAAUUGAUCAUCCUUUAUUUUAUAUAUUUAUCUAUAUUUAUACUAUGUUAAAAGCACGAAUGCCCUUAGCGAAAUAUCGUUCGCCUUUUUUACCGAAUUGAUUUUGCACUAUAUAAAAUAGUCAUUUAAACCAUUUCCCUAAUAUUUAGGACUUGAAAAUUAACUACAAUUUGUGUGUAUCGACCCGACCGGUCAUUUUGAGUGCUAGCCUUAAUUUCCUUAUUUUGAGACCUCUUAUAGCUUCUAUUAAUAUUUUUUGAUUUGCGUGCGUAGUCCAUAUCAUUUUUCGGAAACUUUUUACGUAAUAUUUUGAAGAAAAUGUAAUUUUUGGCCUAAAAUUGGACUUGAGUUGACCAAGACCAACAUUUUUAAUAAAUGACCUCAGAUCAGAGUUUUGACGAUUCCAGUAAGUUCGUAUAAUAUUUUUGAACUUGUACGCACAUUUGGUUGGGGUUGAGGUGACUCGAGCGUAUUUCAGCCCAUUAAGUGAAAAGUUAUGAAAAUGAGUUUUAAGUUGAAUUUUUUGAGUUUUGAUGGUCGAUUCGUAUUAUUUGAUGUUAUUUUGAUGAUUUGAGGUAGCGAGCAAGUUUGUAUAAUGAAUUACACUUGUGCAUAUUCGAUUUUGAGUCCGAAGGGCUCGGGUGAGUUUCAAAUAAGUUAUGGAAGAGUUUGGAUGAUUAUUGAACUGUUGGUGCAAGGCUUUGCUAGUGGAAGCCUGCAGAUAUCGUAAUUGUGAUGUCAGGCUCACAUUUGCAAGCCUCGCUUUUACUGUCAUUAGAUCACAUUUGUGAAAGAGGGAUUGGGGGUUGGACCACGCAUUUGUGAGGAGAAGUUUGCUUUUUGCAAAGGAAUGUGUGUCGCUUUUGCGAAUGAUUUAGUCGCAUUUGCAACCACUCGGCAUUUUGGGUAGCUUCUCAAAUGUGAAGCAAUUAUCCGCAUUUACGAAGGUGGGCAUUUUGCAUAUGCGAUAAGUAUGUCGCAUGUGCGGCUUCACUGGGCCUGAUGCAUUGAUCGCAUAUGCGAUCAAUGUGUCGCAAUUGGGGGCAUCACAGUUCGCCAAUGCGACACCUGCUGCUUGGUAGAGAGGGGGAAAACAGGACUUAGCUUAUUUUACACCAUUCCUCAACCCUAAACACUUUAGAGGCAAUUUUCUUGAGAGCUUUUCAUCCCAAAUUCUUUGGUAAGAAACUCUAAUUUUUUGUAUAUCAAUUCUCCAUUACUUUUCAUGAGUUUCUAACAUCAAAUCUAUGAAUUUCAAAGUAGAAUUGGGGGUUUUGGGUAGAAUUUAGGAAUUUUGUAAAUAUUGAGACUUAGACCUCAAAUUGAGGUCGGAUUUCAAAACAAAUUAUAUAGCCGAGCUCGGUGGUGAAUGGGUAAUUGGAUUUGGUUCGAAUCUCGGAUUUCUACCACGCGGGCUCGGGAUUGACUUUUUCAAAAAUAAUCAAAAUUGAACCUUUUUCAUUCGUUGGUAGUUUCUAAAGCUUGUUUUGAAUUAAUUGAAUGAUAUUUGACUAGAUUCAAUUGGUUGGAAGCUUGUCUUAAAGGAAAAUAUUGUGCUUGAUUGUUGAUUGUAUUCCGGAAUGAGGUACAUGUCUUGCCUAGCUUUGUUGAGAAAAGUUUUCCUACUAAAUGAUAUUGUUUGCUACAUAGGGGGUAUUGCAUAUAUGAGGUGACGAGCGUAUACACAUGUGGCAGGGUUUCCAUGCCCAGAAAGGGGAAAGUAUAUGCUUUCUUUAUGCUUGGUGAAUUUAGUAAUUCUUUGACUUAUGCUUUAUUUAAUACUAUGACUAAUAAACUCAAUUAAUUGUGUUAGAAAUCAUGUUAGAACAUAUGACAUCUUAAAAGGAAUUUAAUGUGUUUUUUUCGGACUGUUUACAUACUUGAUUGAUCGUAACUUCAUGAAUACCCAUUAUAUCUAUUAUUGUCUUGCUACCUGAGCUUCUAAUCUGUAACAAGAGAUGUAACAAGAGAUGAGGAUUGGGGUCUUAGGGCUAUGUUUGGCACAAGGGUUAUUUUCGUGCGCUCGUUAUGGUGUUGGCACGAUGAAUAUUGUCAUGUUGUAUGAGAUAAGAUUGGCCAGUUGGAUGUUACCGUGUGAGAAGAAUUGGAUUUUCUGCUAUGAUUUCUCGUUCGUUAAACACUUACAUGUCCUCUACUUGGGUCUCUAUUAAUGUUGUUAUUUUGUGUGUUACUUUCUUGUUUGUGCUCUUUGUAUAGUUAUCUUCGUGUUUCCCAUUUGACCUAUUACUGGGAUAUCUAUGUGUAACAAUCCGACCGAUCGUUUUGAGCAUUUUCAUUUCUUCGGUGAUUCGAGGGUAUGAGUUGCUUCGUAUGAUGUAUUAUGACUUGUGUGAAUCAUUAAUUUUGAUUUUCGGGUGAUUGAGAUUGAUUUAGAAGAGUAAUUCUCAUUUUAGAAUUUUUAAGUUGGAAGAGUUGACCAAAUUUGACGUUUGUGUAACUGACCUUGAAACAGAGUUUUGAUGAUUUUAUUAGUUCCGGAUGGUGAUUUUGGACUUGGGCAUAUGCAUGGAUUUGCAUUUGGAUAUUUUUAGAAGGUUUUGGCGCUAAUUGGCGAAAGUUGGCAAUUUAAAAGUUUGGAAAGUUCAUAAGUUUGACUGGGAGUUGACUUUGAUGAUAUCAGAUUUGAAUUGUUAUUUGGGGAGUUGGAAUAGGUCCGUUAUGUCAUUUGGAACUUAUGUGCAAAAUUGGAGGUCAUUCUGAGUUGAUUUGAUAUGGUUCGGUACGAGUUUUGGAAGUUAAAAGUUUAAAAGUUCAUCAAGUUUGAUUUGAGAUGCAAACGGUUUUGAGGAUGUUAUGUGAGAUUUUGAGGCAUUGAGUAGGUCCGUGUUAUUCUUUGAAACUUGUUGGUAUGUUCGGACGGGGCCUUGAGGGGCUCGGGCGAGUUUCAGACGUGGUUCAGAAAAUUUUGGAAUUUACUGGUGAAUGCUGGUUUUGGCUAAGUUCUUGUGUGACCGCACCUGCGAAAACAUGGGCGCAGGUGCGAAGCCACAAAUGUGGCAAGCAUAGCACAGAAGCACAAAAUGGAAUUGGGAGCAGGGAUUCGUAGAUGCGGAAUUUUGGCCGCAUGAGGCAGCGCAGAUGUGAGGUCCUUGGGCGCAGAAGCGGAAAAAGGGGCAGAAGGGAGGUUUUCCUCACACCUGCAUUUGCGCAGAAGCGAAAGAAUUUCUGCAGGUGUAAGAGGUCGGCUAUUUGGUAUUUUUCUGCAAAAUCGGACCUUUUGUCGCAGAAGCGAUGCCAUAGAAGCUACAGGUGGUUCGCAAAAGCGAAAUGUUUAGGCAAAAGCUUAUAAAUUCGAGGGUUUGUUUAUUUUGUCAUAUUUUGAGUUGGGGACUUCGGAUUUUGGCGAUUUUGGAGGCAUUUUUUACCACAUGGAGUGGGAUAAAUAUUUUUGACACGGUUUUGAUUAUAUUCCAUGAUUCCAUCUUCGAUUUUGGCAUUUGAUUGAUGAUUUUAAAAGAGAAAUUGGAGAGUUUUUAUCUAAACUUUCCUAAAGUGAAUAUUUGAGUUUUGAACAUCAAUUCAGAGUUAGAUUUGAGUGAAAUUAGUGUGGUUGGGCUUGUAUCCGAAUGGAUUAUCGGAAUUUGUAAAUUUUAUCGGGUUUUGAGGUGCGGGUCUGGGUUGACCUUUUGGGUUGACUUUAAGUUUUGAUUAAAUAUUCGACCUUUAUCAUUUGGGUUGGUUUUUUUUGACAUUAUUUGAUGUUUUUGAGUUGCUUUUGGAUACUUUCAAUCCAUUCAGAGGUUGAUUUACGCGAGAUGGCAUUUCUAGAGUGUUAUUUAGUUUGCUCGGUAUAUGAUUUGGCUUGUUCGAAAUAAGUAACAAUUCUAAACUUGAAAUUAAGGGUAAUUAUUCUUGUGAACCAUGUUAUUAGUGACGUGUUUAGGUAACACAUAUGCUAGGUGACGGGCGCGUGGGUGUGCACUGGGGUAAUCAUGAUUCAAGUUGAUUUUUAGACUAGUACUCUACUUGUUCUGCUACCAUUCCCUGUUACAUCCAUGUUUUCCCCUAGUUGUUGCUUAUUUGAGCUGUAAUUCACAUUAGAAAUCAUGUUUAGGCUAUGUACUUAUUCGAUUGAGACCUAACUAGGCUAUUUAUGAUAUUUUGAGUUAUCUGAUUUAACUGUAAUUAUAUACUCAGUCAUGAUUUUCCAUUUGCAUAUCAUAUCUCAUUCGUUGUUCAUCGUUCAUUGUUACAUCGCAUGUUAUCAUUGAUCUUCCAUAUGUGGAGUUGUUGAGCUGAGUGGUAUGACAUUGUGAGCCCUUGAGACUUGAGUGGUUGAUGACUGAGGUGGGCCUUAGAGCCGUGUAGUGUUGCUGUGGAUCGGGCUGCAUGCCGCAGCAUGCCAUAAUGGCUUUAUUACUACUACUAUUAUUAUUGUAGAUUAGGCUGCAUGCCGUAGCAGGCCUUAUUGGCUUUUGAUUAGCGCUUGGGUAGGAUCCGCCCCUCUGGAGUCUGACAUACCAGCAAUGAGCACAUGCACUGUGAUAUAUACACAUACUUUGGUGAGGGACUUAUGAGCCAGGCACCCGUACAGUGUUGAGUGAUUGUGUGUGUGUGUGUGAUAAAGUAGGAAUUUGAGACAGACAACUUGAGUAUGUUGGGAGUGAGAGUACCUGGGGAUAGCACCAUGAAGUCAUUCAUUUAACAAGCGUACUUGGCAUGUAGGCAUAGAGAUGGAUUUUUCUCAUGUUAGACAAUAAUGCGACAUUUAUAAUUUGACAUGUAGGCAUAGAUUUGUAUAUUCCUCAUGCUACAUGAUAUAUGAUGAUUGAUGAUUUGACAUGUAUAUUGACAUUUAGGCAUAAAUAUGUACUUUCCUCAUGCUAAUUGGUAGAUAGAGAUUCUUAUAUGGUGUUGUUAAUUGGGAAUACAGUUCUUUUGAUAAACUCAUGUUCAGAUGUUUUUCAGUAGUUUGAUUUGAAAUUGGUUAUUUUACCUGAAAAGCAUGCCUACUUUUUUGUAACUGUGAACAAGUUGAGCAUAUAUCCCUUGAGUUAUUUACCUUUGUUGUUCUCAUUAUUUUAUUACGAGUUAUUAUUGGCUAUUGGUGUUGGAUUCUAACCGUCUUCUGAUCUUGUCACUGCUUUCAAUCUAAGGUUAGGUUUGUUGCUUAUUGAGUACAUGAGGUCGAUUGUACUCAUAUUACAAUUCUGCACCUUGCGUGCAGAUCUUGGAGUUGAUGUUGCUAUGUAUAGCGGGAGCUGGCAUUGAACAUCUACAUGUGUUCCGGUUAUAGCUACCAUUUAUACUUGGUAGCUCUAGAUUUGUAAAUCUGCUAUGUAUAUUUUGAACAGAUGAUGUAUUUAUUUUGUACCAGCUUUGUAAACUCUAGGUCUUAGAAGCUCAUGACUUAUACUACUAAAUCCUUAGGAGAUUGAAUAGAAAUUCAGUUAUUUUUACUCAUUUACUCUUAUUAUUCUCAUUUGAGUUGUGUUGAAUGCUACUUGGCUUACCUAGCGGAUUGGGUUAGGUGCCAUCACGACUAGUUGGAUUUUAGUAUUUCUGUAUCAUAAUUGAUUCUAUGUUUCAGUUCCGAGGGAUUAAGAAACGUCUUUAGUUCAUAGAAGGUAUCUUCGGAGUGGGUAUCUUGAAUGUAGUAUUUUGGGUGCUUAAGAUGGAAUACAGUAGCUUAUGGGCUUUAGGGCGAUGUGGUUUCAUGAUAGAAUCUCUUGUGGUGAGUUUUGGUUAAGGGUCAUAGUGUAAUGGCAAGGAGAAGUGUUAUCUCGAAAGCAAUUCGGAAGGCUUAGUAUUAGGUUGGAUCAGUAUGAUGAUGGUAUGAUCUGUUCUUUUGGUUCUUGUGAUACGGUGAGGCUUUACUAAUGUUGUGUGGUAAUACACUUGGGUUUGCGACCUACGUGACUUCGUUGAGUUAGAUGGAUUCAACUUUGAUGGUCCGGUCUUGUGCCAAUGGGUUUCAAAGAGUUCUCAAUGAUUCCUAACACGGUUUGAGAUGUAUAUCUUCUAUAGGCAUAUGGAGUUUAUUGUGCGUUGUGAUUUUUCUCCUAGAUGAGAUCAGGUGGAAGGUUUCUGGCGGAUUGAGUCUAUAUCUUGCUUGUGGCUCAGAGUUGUUAAUGGGAUUCUGAUGCUUUUACAUUAUGAUAUGUUAGAGACGGUGUAUCGUGUGGGAUUCAGAAGUGCAUGUACAAGUUUGUGGUUCUGUAUCGAAAGGAAGGUCAUGAGUUCUAGGCAGCAUAGACAGUUUCAGAUAUUUAAAAGAAUGCUGGAACUAUGUGGUAUUACCUGAGAAGAUUGUACAUUUCAGAAAGGUUUAUUGUGUUUGGCUUACCAGUGCUUGACCGGCAUUAUGGUAAUCGCUUGGUUGAUUGGCUUUUGACGUUAAGAUUUUACUAUGUAGCAUGAAAGAAUUAGGGAAAUAUUUCUCGUGAUAUGAUUGUGUAUGAGAGAGGUGUUAGUUAUUUGGGUGGUCGAGUCAGGAUCAAAUAUAGAGAUUUUAGUAUUGUUGUGAUUUGGAGACUGGGAGUAUCAAAGGUAGGUUAUUCCUUGGUUGUGGACUAUGAAGAUAUGGCUAGGUUAGGCAGCUAAUAGUAUGUAUUGUGGUCAGGUUAUUGUGGACUUUGGAGGGUUAUUUACCUAUUUGUGUAUGGACGAAGCUAAUUUGGGGCCUAUUGUUGAUUUUGAGCAUUAUGGCUUGAGGUAUUUUAUAUGGGCCGAUGUUUGGAUAAGGUCAUGUAUUACAACAGAGUUAUAUUGGAAUAUGAUCCUUCAUGUUAGAUUCGUAUGUCUUGGUUCUACUAUGGGUAAUGGAUUCAUAGCAUUGCGUUUGUGGUGCUACCUGUAGAGCUUGCAAGAUGGUUCUCUCAUUUGAUUCAUCUUUCAUCAUUGGUUACAUUCAAAUUAUUGCUUAUUGGUGACCGAAUUACACGUCUUGUGGUUAUAGAUAAUAUUUCUGUGGCAUGGCAGUUGAGCCACUUGUAUUUGUUGAGAUAAGGUUAUUGGACAGGGAACAUAUUCUAUCGGUCUUGAUUGCGGUAUGUUUGGAAGAAUAAUGUCAUUUGUAAGCUUAGAGUUUGGCAACGGUACAUAUCGGACGUGAUAGCUCCAUGACUAGUUGAUCUGAUAAGUGGUUAUAGCUUUCUGCAUGUUUCUUCCAAAAUUGGUAGUGUACGAGGGGUUAAGACAAGGUUUUAUUUGAUAUGAGGUUUACUACUGGUAUCAAGUUUGUUUUGAGCAGCUAUUGUAGUCAAAAGUUAUUACAAUGAACGUCUGAGUUAUGUGAUAGGUCAUGUAAUUACAUCUUGAGUUAAGAUUAUAGCUUGAUACAUGUUGUUCAGAUUUAUACAGUGUAUAUGAGAACCAGGUCUUGUAAUGUAUUUCGAGUAUUAAAAAUGAGGUUCUAAUAUUAAUGGACCUAGGUUAUAGUAAGGAUCUUUAGUUAGUGUCACAGUCCCAAUUUCCCUCCGUAGGAUGUCAGACGAAAGCCUAACAAACAUGCGAAAUAACUGAAUUAAUAAUUAAGUCUCAAACUCAACAACUAUAUAAAACAAACUUGCAACUCAGCAUAUACAACUCUCGAGACCCGACAAAACAUAAGUCACAAGCUCUGAGUAAAAAUAUUGGAUAAUCCUAUACAUCAAUGUCUAUAUAUGAAAAAAUAAUAAAUAAAGAGAUCUAGAGAGAGGAGGACUCCGAGGCCUGCAAACACCGACAUGUAUACCUUGAAGUCUCCGUAGCAGAACCCUAUCUAAUGCCUGGACUGAUAGAAAGUACCUAGAUCUGCACAAAAAGAUGUGCAGAAGAGUAGCAUGAGUACACCACAACGGUACCCAGUAAGAGCCAAGCCUAACCUCGGUAGAGUAGUAACGAGGUCAGGUCAGGGCCCUACUAGAAUAAAUAAAAAGACUAAACAAGUGUAAGACAGUGUAAUAAGGACAAUAAUGAAAUUGAAACAACAAAUAACAUAUCAAGAUUAGCUACACGGAACAAAGCAAUUAGUGCAACACGUAGAAAAUAAUUAAUAGUAUGCUAAGGAAAUAACAACUAAAGACAAGUGCAACAAUGGAGAAAUGCCAUAAGAGUCACUACCGAGGUACCACCUCGUAGUCUCAAAUCACAAGAAUAAGUCACAAUCUUUCCAUAUAUCACCGUGGAAGCCUUUACAUUAGUUUUGAAAACCAUUUUUCCGAAAUAGCAUCCCGCGUUUUAGCCCACCUUAUCACACCGCAUGACUUCUAGUAGUUCCCCUACUAGCCACGCAUGUCAAGCCCACCUUAUAUCACCGUAUGCGUUUCAACCCCAAAACCUUAUACCACUACAUGCGUAUCAAUAUCACAAUGUAUCACCAAUCACACCUCAAGUGCCCAAUAUCACAACUUGCAAGAGAAACCAAACAAUAAUAGUAUUUUCACUAUAAAGAGCCCAUGGCUCAACCACAAUGUACACAAGAGUCUAAACAAUAACAACCAGAAUGAACAACUCAACAUAAUGGUAUUUCACAACUUAACACUCUGCCUCAAUGUGAAUCACGACCUUGAUAUCUCAAUACCAAUUUCAACAACAAGAUAUUCCACGAUUUAAUAACUUCAAGUAAAGAGUUCAACAAUUAAAUAAUGAACGCAGAAUAAAGGAAAUAAGAACUUCAAUUAAACAUGCAUGGAUAUUAGCAUGUAAGAGAGUAAGACAAGUAGAUAUGUGAAAAUAGACUAGAAAUGGUGACUGUAAAAUGUUAAGGUAACUCAAUUAUGGCAUGAAAGGAAUCUACAUAGCCAAAAUCGGAAAUUUUCGUAUUUAGAUCGUGUACACACUCAUCACCUUGCGUACACGGCUUUAACAUAUCACAAUUAUCACAACCGAUACAAAUCCUAAGGGGUAAUUCCCCAACACAAGGUUAGGAAAAUCAGUUACUUUAACUCACGCUAACUCAAUCAACUAAUAGGCCUUUCUCUCGAUUAUGCAACUCCGAACGACUUAAAUCCCAAAGUUUUUCUUGAAAAACUCUCGAAAAAUUACCUUCAACCGAGCUCUCUAAGUCCAAAAAUGGAUUAUGAAUCAAACAUUUUCUUAUUUCUUCCCAGCGACUUCUGCUUCUACGACCUUUUUGUCGCUUCUACGAUGCCGCACCUGCGGAAAAACCAUCGAAGGUGCGGAUUCCACUUAAGCGCAGGGGAUUCCGCAUCUGCGGAUAAAAUCUCACACCUGCGAGUGCACUCCUAUGGAAAACUCUCCGCUUCUGCGAUGACCGACCAAACUUGCCCCCAUCCGCAACUGCAACCACUUCUCCGCACCUGCGGACUCGCAAAUGCAGAAACCACUUCGCACCUGCGAUCCCAACUGGGCAAAGCCAGCUUCACUUCUGCGGUCCACUGCCCGCUUUUGUCAGUCCGCACAUAUAGCUAAUCCCUCUGCAGGUGCGAUGACACUAGAAGCUGGAAACUUUAGCAAUCUAAGUCCAAAUUUCGAUCCGGUUCAAUUUAUUUCACACCCGGGGCCCCCGGACCCCGUCCGAAUAUACCAACAAGUCCCAAAACAUAUAAUGAACUUACUCGAGGCCAAAAAUCACUUCAAAUAACAUUGAUUCUAUGAGGUGCAACCUAAAUUCAAGCCUAUGAACUAUGAACUUCCGAAUUCUGAAACCAAUGCCGAUUCAUACCAAAACAACUCUGAUUGACUUCAAAUUUUGCACACAAGACCUAUUCCACUACAAAAAAACAGCGUUUAGCAAUGGAAUUUAGUGACAAGAGAUACUUCGUAGCUACAUAACAACGAAUUAGCGACGCAUUUUGUAGUUUGUCGCCAAAUAAGCUACAAAAAGAAUUUGUAUAAAAUAUAGCGACAGAAAUAGCGACAAAAACUUAUAUUUGUCGCUAAAAUUGGCGCUAAAUGUUAGCGCCUUUAUUUUACCUACAAAAUUAGUGAUGGAAGUGGAGCAACAAAAUUAUUAAAACCUAGCGGCAGAUUUACCGUCAAAAAAUCUAUCGCUGCAGUCAUUUUACUUAUCAAGACAUUCUAAAGUUGAUUGCGACAAAAUUUUCCGUCGCUAGUUUCCUUAAAAUAAAAUUUCAUUUGAUAUUAUUCGCGAUAGAAAUUAGGUCCGUCACUAUUUCCGUUGCUAAAAAUCUAGUUCCAUUUUAAAAUAAAAUUUCAUUAGUUAUUAUUAGCGACAGAAAUUCGAUCCGUCGCCAAUUCCGUCGCUAAAAUUUUGUCCUAAAAAUAAAAUUAGGACAAUACGCCCACUCCCCUUUAUUAGACUCCCACUCUCAAUACAAUUAGGGCAACACGCCCACUUUCUCUCCUCUCUAUCAGACAGACUCCCACUCUCAAUACUCUUCAAUAAUGUGAAUUUUUUGCUGCAGAACUUUGAAAUUCGAAGUCGUGUGUUGCUGCUCCGCAAGAUUCUCAGGUGAAAGGGUAAGCUUCUUUGUGAUUUCAUUCCUGACAUUAUCGGUUAGUCGAAGGUCUUUGCGUAAAAAGAGGUGUCGUCUUGCCUACUAAAAGAUAUUCUGGUCAUUUCAUCUUCUUUGUUUCUCUGUGUGGUGUUCUUCUUCAUCUUCUAUCAAGUGACUGAGUAGGUAAUGAAUUUAUUUUCACUGUAAUCUAUGAGAUUGUUCUGAAUUAUUUAAGCUCUUCCUUGCAUUGAUACCAAUUUUGCUACUCCUUUUUAUUUAUCCUUUAAUCGAAUGUAUCUGUACUGCACCUUCUCCUUCAAAGUUGGUUUUUAUGGAUCUCGGUGGUGUUUUUUUUGGGGCAUCCCAGGAUUAUCAUAUUGAAGUAUUUGCUUAAAUGUCUUCUUCGUACUUGGUUGGUAAUUGUUGCGCUCCCCAUGCAUCGGUAGUUGAAGGUUUUGUUUUUCAAUUUUCUCAAUUUUAGUUCCAAGUUGUAUGUAGUGUGCGCUUUAUUUUGUUCAAUUUUGGUAAUUGUUUCUCCAUUCUUGCUUUCAUUCAAUGUAAUUUGUUAUUGCUACUGUAGUUUUGGUGUUGGUGGGUAUCGGCUACAAGCUAUGUUCUUUUGGAAAGUGUGCUAUUGGAUUUUUACAUACAUGUCAGCAACUUUAUCCAAUUUGCUCGAUGUUGUACGGAUGGUGUUUGAUAAUAUGCUUGUAUGAACUGCCUUUGCACUGCAUGGAAGAAGCUAUUUGUAAUCUUUUCCUAUUUCUAAUAGUCAUGUGAAUGGUGAUUUAGUGAAGCAUCUCCAAAUUAUAUUUUCAGUUCUGCUUUGAUUAAGCAUUUUUUUGUGGUACCAAGAGCAGAACUUUUUCCGUUUGUCUUCACGCUUAUUUCAGAAGAAGUUGUUUUCUUCUCAAAUCUAUGGGUAUCUCCCAAGAUUAGUUCUUUACGAGGUUUUAAGUUGUUUUAUUGAAGUAAAUUUCAAAAGGAACUCUUAAUUUGAGGUGUUUUCUUUAUUUGGCUCUAAUGUAUUUUUCUUCUGAAUGUUGUUAUCAUUUCUAUGAUCUUUUGUUGAUGGUAUCCGUUUAUUUUCUUUAUCUUGUUGAUCUACAUGAAAUUGUUAGCUAUGUUAAGUUUCCUAGUUAACAUCGUUGAUUAAGCAUUUUUAUGAACUUCUUAAUUUUUCAAAGAAGUUUGACCAUAUCAUGUAUGCUUUUCUUUGCAUGUAGAUCAGUUUGACCUUGAACAUAUCAGCAGAUUUACAAUCAUUGUAGAUCAGUUUGGCCAUAUGAAUGUCUGGAUCUCUGGGUGUGUAUUCAUCUUAUGUUUCACUAAUCUAAUCUCUAGGACAUAAUAUAUGUACAUUUGUCAUCCCUGGUCUAAUAUCAUUGAAGUUUGCUAGAGUGUAGAGGAGAGGUGGUCAUAUGGAUGUUGAUGCCACAACUAACACUCUGAAUUUUAGGACGUGGAAAUUGGAAACAGAAUGUAAUACAUAUAUUUACCAGGCUAUUGGUUACCUAUAGCAAUAUCAGAUAGUAAAUUCUAUACCUUCUUGUACAACUUGAUGAACUUUGGCCAAUAGUUAAUUACUGAAAUAAAACAAUUUUAUGCAUUAUAUAACUUUACAACAGAAAUCUCACGAUUUUUCCAUUGCCAACAGAGAAAGCAGACUAAUUUAGCCAACAACGCAUAUAGAUCACAUAGAAUGUUAUAGCAGACUAAUUUAGCCAACAACACAUAUUGAUCACAUAGAAUGUUAGUCGUAAAUACACAUAUUGUUCACUUAAUUGCAUAUAGUGGCUUCUCCCGUUAGUUACGCCCCCCUCUUUUUUCCAGUUAAUUACGUUAUCUAAUCAUUUUUGACCUAUGUAAUCCUCAAUAUGUAGCAUUUCAUUUGUCUUUAAGGUUCUUAUUUUGGUCGACGAAAGGAACUGAGCAUUCCAAGAUUUGUUUUCAUUCCAAGAUUGGGGCGUUAGUAAUUCUCAGCUUAUUCUGAUGUCAACUUGUUAUUCAUUUUAGAAAGCAUUCUGAUGUCUUAUUAAAUAAAGAACUCUAAGGUCUUGUUUAUUUUAAUAUUAAAUAGGAACAUAGACAAUCUAGAUCGUGAUUGGAUGUACAAAAGGUUGGAUAGUCGAGGGGGUAUUAAUUCAAGUUUCAUAAUUGGUGUGAACAAGUUUCUCCAGUUUGCUUGUUCUCAGCGCAAUUGCAUGAGUGAUGACAAUGUUAAAUGUCCAUGUAAAAAAUGUCACAACAUUAAAUACAUGGAUGUUGAAACUGUUAAAUUGCACCUUUAUCAGUAUGGAUUUGUUGAGAACUAUUUUCUUUGAAAGCAUUAAGGAGAAAAAAAUUUGACCGGUGAGAUGUCUUCUAGUGGUGAUUUGCAUGGUGGCACUCAACCUGAAUCGGAAUAUGAGAAUCCAUAUCAAAAAAUGGUCUUAGAUGCAGCUGGACCCAAUUUUGGCCAUGGUUUGAGCUGGCAGUCUUAUAAUAAUAUUGAACUUGAGUCGUCUCAUUCUUACGAACCUUCAAUGGAGGAGGAGCCUAAUCCUUCAAUGGAGGAGGAGCCAAAUCUUGAGUGCCAAAGGUUUUAUGAUUUGCUACAGGCCGCUGAUGCAAAUUUAUACCCUGGUUCUUCCCUCGCUCAACUCGCAGUAGUUUCCAGGAUGCUAAAUAUUAAAAUGGAGAAUACUUUAUCACAAAGAUGUUAUAACCAAAUGAUGCAAUUGUUGAAAGAGGCUUUAACAGAAGAUAACACAAUGCUUGAUAACUAUUAUGAGACCAAGAAGCUAGUGCGUAGCUUGGGUUUGCUAGUUAAAAAGAUUGAUUGUUGUAAUUAUGGAUGUAUGUUGUAUUGGGGUGAAGAUGAGGAUCUCACAUCUUGCAAGUUUUGUGGCCACCAGAGGUAGAAACGUCGUGUCAGUUCUCAUAAGAGGAAAUUAAUCCCUUACAAAAAAUGUAUUAUUUUCUUUUGAUUCCUAGAUUGCGGAGAUCAUAUGCAUCUCAUGCUACAGCCACUGAUAUGAGAUGGCAUCAUGAGCACAUACAAGAGGAGGGCGUAAUGUGUCAUUCAUCAGACUCUAAGGCUUGGAAGCACUUUAGUGAAAUUCAUCCAUUCUUUGCUGCUGAACCAAGAAAUGUGAGGUUGAGAUUUUAUGUACUGAUGGUUUUCAGCCCUUUGGUCAUUCAGGGAGGAAAUACUCUUCAUGGCCAGUGAUUGUCACUCCAUACAAUUUGCCUCUAGGGAUGUGUAUGAAAGCGGCGUACAUGUUCUUAACCGUCAUUGUUCCAAGGCUAAAUAACCCUAAACAAAAAGUUGAUGUUUAUCUACAACCUUUAAUAAAGGAAUUGACCUUGUUGUGGGAGACGGGUGUAGAAGCAUUUGACAUCUCAAAAAAACAAAACAUUUUAAUUAAAGGCCUCUUUGAUGUGGACAAUCAAUGACUUUCCAGUAUAUUCUAUGUUAUCUGGAUGGAGUACUGUCGGUGACUUAGCAUGUCCUUAUUGUAUGAAGGAAGCACAAUCCUUUAGAUUACGCCAUGGUGGGAAAACGACUUGGUUUGACAGUCAUAGAAUGUUUCUUGACUAAAAUCAUCUAUUUAGGAGAGAUCAUAAAAACUUUCGUAAAGUUCAGACUGUCAGAAGGCUACCACCCCCCUUAGAACAGGAGAGGAAAUCU